rnacentral:lncRNA from 1 species
CAAUUCAGCGAACAUCUAACCUGCAUAGAACUUUGUGUUUGUGUUCACAUGCCAUCAUGUUGGAUAAUAGAAUUUGGGGAAAUCUUUUUCUUCCCAUAGAAUUCUCAAUCAUUUGAGUCAUUACCUCGCCUGCAUAAAGUACGGAAGAGGAUAUUUCUCCUAUUACUGUCAAAUUCCUUAUCGGAACUCCAUAUUGAAAUGUUAAUUAAUGCUUUGAAUAGUUGGUGUAAUUGUCUAAUUGAAUUGAUAAUUCUUCAUGUAUCUGAAUGAAGAGGUUACAGAUUCAGAUGAUAGACACCAUGCCAUGUUCAGAAGGAUAGAUUUGAUAACCACCUCAAAGGUGAAGAAGAGAUGUGUUGUCAUUGUUGAAGCAUGAAAGAAAGACUAGUUGGGAUAGUAAGAUGACCGAGGAAUUUGUUCCUACACACCUUAUAAAUGCGACUAGCAAAACAGAAUCACAUGACAAUGUCAACAAGAUCCAAUAAACCAAAGAAAAAGUGAUAGUGAUGAACUAUCGAGAGCUAUUGGACAGAUUUGAAAAAGAAGAUGAGAAAAAUACUCCAAGUUACUUUACCGGACCAUUCUAUCGUUUUUUAGUUCAUUCAUUUGUAAAGGAAGUUUGAGCCUUUCUUCUUUUGAAUUUUAUAAUUUUGCAUUGAGAAAUACAUAAAACUCCACCUAAACUUGGCAGCACGGGAAUUUAAAUAUCCCUUAACAUCUUUGAAGUGAAUUAAAUACAACCCUAAGAAUAGAAUACCACUUUCACCUGCCACAUCAUACCAUAUAAGUACCACAUCACAACCAUGUAAGCACCACAUCAUUAAUUUUUGUCAAAAUCAAUCCAGCUCAAUGUUGAGCUUCAAUGGAGUAGUCGACUCCAUUGUUGAAGGAAUGAAGAAGCAAUUUGAAAAAUGAAAACUGUAUAUUGAAUUAUCUACCACAAGUAAGGUUUAUAUAUGUCAUGUAGUAUGAAGUUCAUUCUGUAACUGCUCCUAACAAACUAACAACUUUCUAACCUACUAAUCACAUUUCACAUUAGCUGACUAUAUAGAAUACAUAAUUAGCUACUUUAAGCUAAAGCUACUAUAAUACUACUCCAACUACUUUAAUACUACUCUAAUACUUCAAUACCCCCCCCCCCUCAAGUUGGAAGGGAGGAACGGACUGCCAACUUGCGGAGAAUGGAUAGAUGAGACACCCCUGUGAGGGCUUUAGUGAGAAUAUCUGCCAGUUGAUUCACAGUGGUAACAUGACGCAAUGCAAUGAGACCUUCCUGCAGCUUGGUCCUAACAAAAUGACAGUCAACCUCUAUAUGUUUAGUUCGCUCAUGGAGUACUGGAUUUCUAGCAAUGUGAAGAGCAGACUGGCUGUCACAGAAAACAUCAAUGGGAGAAGGAAAUGAAAUAUUAAGCUCUUCAAAUAACCUGCUCAACCAUACUAAUUCACCCACCACUUUUCUAAGAGAUCUAUACUCAGCCUCUGCUGAAGACAAGGACACAGUUUCUUGCUUCUUUGAUUUCCAGCUUACAGGGUUGUCUCCUAGAAGAACAAUAUACCCAGUGACGGAUUUUUUGGAAUCAGGGCAAGCAGCCCAGUCUGAGUCACAAUAAACUCUAACUCUGCAGUCACUAUUUUUCGACAUAAAAAUACCAAGGGUAAGGUCCAUUUUUAGAUAUCUAAGUAGGUGAAUAGCAGCUUGAAGAUGAGGCUCUCUUAGAUCUUGCAUGAAUUGACUAAGGUGCUGAACACUAUAGGUAAUGUCCAGUCUGGUAUUUGUGAGGAAGUUCAACUUCCUAAUCAACUUUCUGUAAUAAGAGGGAUUAGGAAGAGGAGGACCUUCUUUUGCUUUAAGUUUGACAUUUGGAUCAAGUGGAGGGGACAAACAUGUGUAGUCAACCAGAUCAUAUUCUUUAAGUAAGUCCAAUGCAAACUUCCUUUGUGAAAUGAGGACACCAUCAGUAGUAUAUAGGAUUUCCAUGCCCAAGAAGUAAUUCAACUUCCCCAAAUCUUUGAUCUUAAAAGGUUGCAUGGAGGAAAGACUUCAAGUUCUCUAUUUCCAAAGAAUGUCACGCCCCGAGCCUAUACCCUGGACGUGGCCGACACUCAAAGACCAUUGAUGGCCCCAAGCGAACCUUUGGCCUGACUUUCUUAACUCAGCGGAAACCUAACUCAACAGAAUAACUCCAUGCAAUGCAAGGACAUAAAACAACUUAACUAAUAAAAUCUGGCCUAAAAGGCAACUCGAGUCCCAAAAUAGAAUAUUUACAUAUAUAAAUAGAUGAGAGACUCAAAACUAACUAACUGACUGACUGACUGUCUAUGAAGCCUCUAAAAUACUGAGAUGGAUGUUGGGACAGACCCCGGAACAUCUUAACAAAACAAAACUAAGAGAACAAAAUAACUGAGUCUUCCGUAAUGCAAAGAGGCUCACCACUGACUCUGGAGUGCUCAGCUGGAUCAACGGCAUGCCGGAUGUUGAUCCUGGGUACCUGUGUCUGCAUCGUCAUAAGAUGCAGGCCAACUGGCAUCAGUACAUUGAAUGUACGAGUAUGCGAGCUGGAAAACUAAGCAACAUAGGCUAGAAGGAAAUCUGGAAGAAACUGAAUAGCUUACCUGGCUCAACUCAACUCAACCUGACUGACUUUUUUCAAUAUAAGGCAAUUUAAAACAAGUGCAAUAUAAAGAAAAGUUGUUUAAAACAUGUUANNNNNNNNNNNNNNAACCAUCACAUGGAGCUAUAGUGAUGAUACAGCGAUCAACCUCACGCUGCCAGAGCAUCCUAUUCCCGGCCAAAGGUAUAGGACCUGAACUGCCUAAUGGAUCCACUAGUCUAAUUUGAAAAGGAUUCAUUUAAACAGUAUGAAUCUCUUCUACCCAUGAUGGCUACAUGGUUCAGUGGGGGCUGUGGGUUCUUUGAACGCUCCCCUAACUCGGUGCUCAAUACUACUCCCAAAAAUGUACUGACUCUUAUGUUUUUAAAACAUUUUCUUCCUGCUGAUUUGAGAUAAUUACUCAAAACUUAGCUCAAAGGCUAUCUUGGAAAUCUCAAUUUCCUCUCUUGCUUCAUUUAGAAAACGACAACUCUUCUUCUGGAAAACUAGCCCAAAGGCUCUUUGGAAAUCUCAGUUUCCACUUUUGUUUAAAUGUGAAAACAUUUCUUUAAAACUUCUUCGGGAAUACAUAGUUCCCUAAUAACUUUAUGAGAAAUAAACUCAACUUUAUACUAUUGGCUUAACUUGAAACUCUUUACUUAACUUGAAACUCGAGCCUUAAAAUGAAGUUGAAGCAUUCAAUAAAGACUCUUGAACAACUUUAAAGACUUGUUUCUUAACUUCUAAGUUUGACUUUAACUUCACUUGACUUUGAUCCAAACUUUCCUCGAAUUGGAUUAUGAAUUCAAGGUAUAUGAUCACAUGUUUAUGGAUGAGUUCUUGACGUUUAGACGUACCUUGGAGUGUUGAAAACAACUAUAAAACAUAGGUACAUUACCAAGGAACAUGCAUGAGAAAGUGGGGAAGGAAUGGGAAAGGUUGGUAUCCUUGGCGCUCUGAGAGGCGCAGGGCGCCAGCCCUCAAACUUCAGAGGGGCCUGGUUGGGGCUCUGCUAGGGUCGCCGCCCCAAGGGCUGGACUUCAGAGUCCCUUUUGGGGGGCGCUGGCUGGCGUGACACCCCAACCCUUUUCCCCGAAAGUUUGAAUUUUCUCCUUUAUUUUUCCAACUCUAAACCACCUUAACUUCAAAGGUUCUAGCCCCAAACACUUAAUAUCAUAAAACCCCUCAACAUACAAUAGAUUUAACUCGGAAACACAACCGGAAACAUGCCCAAAAUCAACAAGAACUUCAACACAAUCACAACUAACAACUUCAACAAAACACAAUCAAUCUUUUCUCGAAAUUAAAAUGAGUUUGGCGUGUGGGGGAAAGAACCAACCCAACACUAUGAUCUCACAUACCUAGUAGGGAUCACCCCUGACGAUAUCCACGACGAUCUUUGACGAAACCUUGCUUGAUCUUCUCUUUCUCCUCUUCUUCUCCUCUUCACUCACAAACCCUUACUCUCACUCUUUUUAAAAAGGGAAAACUGAUCUAAAAAUCAGUCUAAACCCUUAAUAUAACCAAAACAAUUGAUUAGGGAAAAGACCAAAAUACCCUUAAAAUUUCCGGACGAACUUCCCCUGCCAACUACCCAACUUUCAAAUGGCAUAACUCACUCAUACGAACUCGGAAUCAAGAAAACUCGGUGGCGUUGGAAAGACCAUUCCAUGAAAUUUGCAAACAUAACUGGAACUACACCUAACUCAUCCUAAGCUAGGAGUUAUAAUUGUUCAAGGUUGGCCAAAAACUCACUUUUUCCCAUACUUAACCAAAUUUUCCAAAUUUUUUUAAAUUCUUUCCAAAAAUGACUAUUUCCAAUUUUAAGCAUCUUCAUAGUUAUUUCAAAUUGCCGGAUGUUACAAAGAAUCUGUUCCAGUAAUGAUUACAUCAUCUACAUAUACAACUACAAAAAUGGUAGAAGAAUUGGUCUUCAUAUGGAAGAGAGAGUAGUCAUUUUCUGACUGUACAUAACCUUGGAUUGAAAGUGCCUCUACCAACUUUGCAUAUCACUGCCUGUUGGCUUGCUUCAACCCAUAAAGAGAUUUUUUUAACCUACAUACCAAUCCUGGUUUAUCAAGAGCAAGACCCUGAGGUGCCUCCAUGUAAACUUCCUCGUGCAAAUCUCCAUGGAGAAAAAUAUUGUUUACAUCUAAUUGAAAAAUAUAUCAGCCUCUCUUUAUAGCACUAGCAAUCAAUGAUUUAACAGUAGUCAUCUUGACAACAGGGGGAAAAGUAUUUGUAUAAUCUACUCCCGCUCUCUGAGUAUAGCCUUUGACAACUAAUCUGGCUUUAAACCUCUCAAUGCUAUCAUCAGCCUUGUGCUUUACUUUGUAAACCCAUUUGCAUCCUAUGGCUUUCUUCCCUUCAGGUAAAGGAACCAGAUCCCAUGUAUGGUUGGCAUGUAAUGCUUCAUAUUCUUGUGUCAUGGUUGUUUGCCAUACAGGAUUGAGAAUGGCCUCCUUAAAUGAUGAUGGUUCACUAUCAUUGCAAACAUUGUUAACCAAUUGCUGACUAGUUAAUGCUAGGACAUCAGGAGCAAUGUGACUAUGUCUACAAAAUAGUGAACUUAGGGAUAAUGGUGUGGAACAAGUUGUUGCUUUGGGUGUAGGACAGACAUAAUCUUGUAGGUAGGUAGGUACUUUGUGGGUUUUAAUAGAUCUCUUUUGAGGUUGAGGAGGUUGUGUUUCAUGUGCACUAUCAGUGUGGGAGUAAAGAGGUGUAAUGGUGGCAAGACCAAAAUUUAAGGUUGCAACACUAGUGUUCCCUUGAUUAUCAUAGACAGGUGUAGUACUAGGUAACACAUCAUCAAUGACUACAUCUGUUGAUUGUGCAGAUUUGGACACAAAUUUAGAAACAACAUGAAAGGAAGACCCCUUUGGAGACAAACUAAAAGGAAACACAUGCUCAUGAAACAUAACAUCUCUAGAAAUAUGCAGUUUUUUUGUGGCUGGGCUUUAUACCUUGUAGCCUUUUGUUGCAAAUGGAUAUCCAAUGAAGAUGUGUUGUGUGGUUUUGGGGUCAAACUUAUCUCUGUGAACCUUAGGUAUAGUAGGAUAACAGAGACAGCCAAAAGCUCUCAAUUCAGAAUAAUGUGGUUUCUUAUUGUGAAGGAUUUCAAAUGGACAUUUGUUUUUCAGGGAAGUGGUGGGUAGUCUAUUUAUGAUGUGUGUUGCUGUUAAGAUGCAUUCUCCCCAAUAUUUUAGGGGUAUUUUUUAUUGAAACAUCAAUGCCCUAGCAGUCUCAAGAAGGUAUUUGUGUUUUCUCUCAACAAUGCCAUUUUGUUGGGGUGUAUAAGGGCAUGUUUUCUGAUGAAUUAUUCCUUUGGCUUAAAAGUAUUUUGUGGCUUCAGUGUUGGAAAAUUCCAGGCCAUUAUCAAACCUAACAGAUUGAAUAGUAGUCUUAAAUUGGGUUUCAAUAAGAGAAAUGAAUGUUUUGAUAGCUUGUAGGGCAUUGCUUUUGCAGCUUAAUAAAUGUGUCCAAGUAGACCUGCUAAAGUCAUCCACUAUGGUAAGGAAAUAUUUGUAAUUGUCAUGUGUUGGAGUAUGAUAAGGCCCCCAAUGGUCAAUGUGAAGUAGUUCAAAGAUUUUGGUAGUUUCAGUGGUUCUGGUGGGGAAUAGAAGCCUAUUUUGUUUGGCCAUAGGGCAUAUAGUGCACAUGAAAGGUUGUUUUGAAGAAAAUUGUACAGGGAUAGAGGAUAUACUCUGCAUUUUAACAAAAGGAACAUGUCCAAGCCUAUUGUGCCAUAACAAGUCUACAUUACUUUCAUUAGAUGAGUAAGGAAGAGCAGACUGAAGGAAAACACCUUCAUCACAUGCAGUUUGAAAAGAAACAUUCUUAUUACAAGGAAGUAAAAAUGAGUUGUCUACAACUGAAUGCAAAGAUGGUGAAUUAGAAAGACAAGAACUAGAACUGUAACUUGAACUACAAAUUCAAUUACAAGAGGAAAUGGGAUCUGUCUUAGAAUUGACCCUAUUGCUCUUCAAGCACUUUGAACACAGGUAAUACAGUCCAUCUCUGCUACUACCAAUCUCCUGAGGCCUCUUCAUUGAAGGGGCCUACAAUACGCAGGAAGAAUUAGUAAAUAACACAAUGGAAUUGAGUUGAACAUUUAAAGAGUGAAUGGAAACUAGAUUGUAUCUGAAAGAGGGAACAUACAACACCGUAUGUAUGAUAAUCUCAGGGGUAAGUGUUACUUCACCAAACUCUUGUACCUUAACCUUAUAACCAUUUGGAAGACUGAUAAGUAUUAGGUAUGGUAGUGUUUUUAUAUUGGUCAAAGAGGCUUUAUUAAAGGUCAUGUGGUUGGAAGCUCCUGAAUCUAGAAUCCACUGGUCAUCUUUUGAUUCAUAACAUUUGCAAGAUGGCUUACUAAAAUCAAUUGAAGAAGUGCAGAUUACAAUACCUGCAAAGUUUGCAGCUCCAUGAGUGUUGUCUGAAUCAGCAUUGCAUUGAAAUUGUCUCAAUAAAUGCAUCAUUUGUCCAUAUUCCUCUUUGGUUAGACUAACAUUUUGAUCCUCAUUCUGGAUGGCCAGGCCUUUCCCUUUAUCUGAUACAUCAACAGCAGGUUGUCCAUGCACAUUUGCCACUUUUCCUUUCCCUUUAUUGGACCUGUAGGGCUGUUGUUGGUUAUGACCCUGACUACUGUUGUAGUUCUGGUAAUUAUUACUAGUAUUAGGUGUGUUGGUGGCAUUUGGAUACCUAUGCAGUUUAUAGCACUUAUCUUUCGUGUGCCCUGUUUUCUUACAGUACUCACACAUAGGCCUUUUUGUAGAGUAAUUUCCAGAUGUACUACCAGAUGCAUAAUUGGGCCUCGGAGGACAGUUGCUGGGGGAAUAAUUUGUCUUGAAGGCUCUUGAAGAAGAACCUCCAGAUGAGCUUGCAUUAAGAGAGGUGGACUCCAUAAAGAGUUGAUUAUUUUGUUUAAACUCACGUUGUUUCUCUUCCUGGAUCAGUAUCGAAAAUGCCUGCGCCAUGCUUGGCAAUGGAGUCAUCAUGAGAAUAUUCCCCCUCACCACAGUGUACACUUCAUUGAGUCCCAUGAGGAAAUGAAUCAAUCUCCGAGAUUGUUCUGCCUUAUGUGAGUUAUCUUUUGCACCACAAGUGCAAGUACAUGUACAUUGCCCUUGAGCAUUUAGAGUGCACAACUCUUCCCAUAACUUUUUCAACCUAGUAUAGUAAGUAGUGAUAUCGAGAUUUCCUUGAGCUAUGUCGUUAAUUUCCUUUUGUAUUUGGUAUAGCUUCGCACCAUUGAUUUGAUCAUAUCGAUCUUCUAACUCCUUCCAGAGUUCUACCAAACUAUUAAUGUAUUCAACACUAUCUGCAAUUUCCUUAGUAAGAGAGUUAAGGAUCCAAGAAGUUACCAUAUCGUCGCACCUCUCCCAUUGUCGCAGUUGAGGUGAGGUUGGCCCUGGUUUCACACAUUCUCCGGUGAUGAAGCCAACUUUGUUCUUCACAGAUAGAGAUUGCAGGACACCUCUUCUCCAUGAUCGAUACCCAAUUCCAUCAAAUGGAGUUGGUACUAGCAUUGCACCGGGAUUAUCUGAGGGAUGCACAUAGAGUGGACUGGUUGUGUCAACCGUUGGUUGUCCAGCUAAACCCAAAGGAACAACACCGACAUUUUCAGUUUGAUCUCCCAUGGUGGAAAACAAAGGAAUAUUGAGAGGAGAGAUCAAUCAAACAGAUGAGAGAUCGAUAGAAUAAUCGAAUAAUCGGUUUCAGAUCAAAUACGAACUCGUAGAGAAUCACUGCGAAAAAGGUAAUUCAGAAGAAGAAGAAAAAGAAGGAACGAGGAUGAGACGACAAAAUUGCGGAAUUUAGCCGUGAGGCUCUGAUGCCAUGUCAAAAUCAAUCCAGCUCAAUGUUGAGCUUCAAUGGAGUAGUCGACUCCAUUGUUGAAGGAAUGAAGAAGCAAUUUAAAAAAUGAAAACUGUAUAUUGAAUUAUCUACAACAAGUAAGGUUUAUAUAUGUACAUGUAGUAUGAAGCUGAUUCUGUAACUGCUCCUAACAAACUAACAACUUUCUAACCAACUAAUCACAUUUCACAUUAGCUGACUAUACAAAAUACAUAAUUAGCUACUUUAAGCUACAACUACUCUAAUACUACUCCAACUACUUUAAUACUACUCUAAUACUUCAAUAAUUUUCAAUUUAUUACACUAAUCAAUUAAUUAAAAAUACAUUUUAAAAUCAAAAUUGCCCAUCUUCUUCCACCCCUUCUCUUCUACCCUCCCCCCCCCCCCCCCCCCCCUAUCCCUCUUUCUUCUUUCUUGAUUUUCACCAUUUUCAAUCUUCACUAGCUUCUUUUUCCCCCCAAAUUUACAGCCUUCAAUAGUAGUUUUCUUCUUCAACAUUCAUCAACUUUUUUUAAAAAAAAAUAGCAUACUUACUCUUUCUUCUUCGAACCCUCUCUCUCCCACAAAUCUGUCCCUUGAAGAAUAAUAUUUUUGUAAGUUAUUUUUUUCUUAACAUCUCAAAUGAAAAAUGAAGGUUGUGUAAGAAAGUUGAUAGACUCAUAUUUUUUGCAUCACAACUAUUAGAAAAUUCAAAAUUGGUUACUUAAAAUUCAAGAAAGUUUACAUUCAAUAAUAUGAAUUAGGUGUUGGGUUUUGUGAUUAGUGAAGGGCGGGUGAGGUGAGGUGAGGGAUGAAGAUGAAGGAAAAAUUUUAAUAUGGAAGAAGAAAAGUAUAAGGAGUGUUUCAUUGGGGAAGAAGACAUUUGGGGAAGACAACAAAAUAAAGAGAGAACAAAAAGAUUAAAUAUUUUUUUAAAAAAAAAAUUGAACACACAAAUUUCAUUUACUUGUAAACAAGAAAUUUCACAUUUUUUUUAACUUAGUUAUAUAUUGGCCAAUAAAAAAAUGUUAUGUGUAUGAUUUUACCUUUCAGUUUUAUUAUUUUUAUUAUUUCAUGUGCUUUGAGGAGAGUGAAUACACUCACUUUGCCACAUUAGCUCUUAGGGUGAUAUUUAAUCUUGUUAAGGGGGUAUUUAAACGUCUGUAUAGUUAAUGAUGACACCCAAUUUUGGACCUCCAUAAUAUAGAUUAAUCAUCGAGAUUUUUUUUAAAAUUUCAAACAAUUUCAAAUAAUUAGUUUUAGGAAAUAAACUAAUAAUAAAUAAAAUAGAAUAAAAGUCUUUUCAAGUCAUUUUAAAUAGUUUAACACUUAUUUAUAAUUUUUAAAUAAUAUAUGUGUUACGUAUGUAAUUGGUACAUUUUUUAUAAGUAUUCGAAAAUGGUCUCAAAAAGAUUUUAGUUUUACUUAAAUACUCUAUUAAAUUAAUUUUGUCUAAAUUAGUAGUUUAUAUUUUGAGUCAUUAGUUCAUUAGGUUAAUUAUUUUGUUUCGUUAAAAUUAAGAAGUUCGUUAAUUAGUUAUAUUUAUUCAUUUCAUUUUAACUCUAGCCGAAUUAACUAAUUACCUCAAUUUGGUCGAAAUUGCAAUUAAUGUGGCUAUGCGCUUGAGUCAAGAAAUUGACCCACAUCUUGGCCCAUUUUUUCCAAUUUCCGUUCACCCUUCCAACAACCCAACACCUCAAACACAUUUCCAAAUUACACAGCCCAUUCCAAUUUAAUUCAACUGACCCAACCCAAUAAUCCCCUCAACCCGGCCCAAAUCCAUUUCUCCUUCACAAAAAGAACCCAGAUUUCCAGAACGUCUCCAGUAGCUCAAACAAAAUGAGCCCUGCAUCCUUUUUCUUCUUCACCAACACUUGAAUGCACUGCAAAAUCCAGAAACGUCAACAACAGCAGCCCUCACCAAACCGUUCCAGCAGCUCCCACAGCCUUUCUCUGCAACAACCGCCCACCUUGGUCUAGUCAUCCGGAUUUUAGGGGAUUUUGGUUGAAAUCUUGUACCAAGAACAACUUUUCCCCUUCCUUUGGGGAGGAAAAUUUGAAUUGCGAGUUUGAGCUUUAAAUUCCUAUUCUACCCUUUUCCCACUCGAUUUUUCCAGAUUUUCCCUUCUAUAUAUAUCCCCUCAUUCUUCACUGUCAAGGGAGGAAGGAGGAGAAGAAUUACUGACUGAAUAUUAAGGAAUAAGGUUUCUAUUUUUUUUUCUGUCGGAAUCCAUCGGAGCUUUGUCGGAGCUCAUCAGAAUUUCGCUUGUGGUGGUGUAAAGCUUCACGGUAAAGCUCUUAGUCCCAGAACACUGCCCCAAGAAAGGUAACCUCAUCUCCUGUUGUAUUUUGUUCCCAUGUAGUGUGUUGUAUGUUCCAUGCUUUUGUGUAGAAUCUACUGUUACAUGUAUUUAUUUAUCUUUGUUUAGUGUUUUCGUUAGCGUUGCCCUUUUCUGCAAAUUUCUGGGAUGCAAUAUGUUUCUCGUUGAUUGAAGUUUCGUCGGCAUUGUGUAGAUAGAGUAGUUGGCUCGAUGUUGUAUGUGCUUAGUCGGCCAAGUCUCUGCUUCAUUUUGUUUGAUUUGAUCUGUGGUUCAUCUGAUUUAAAUUCCGAUGUGUUAGCCUUAUAGUUUUCUUUUUUCUUAUUGUUUACUAGUUGUUUUAGUUUUCCAUUCUGACGUUGAUUCAUCGUUGUAGAUCCUCACUAAUGCUAGCCUAGUUUCAUAGCAUCUAUCUAUGUCCCCGCUUGACUCGAACACCAUCCGUGUCCUUUUGUGUUUCAGUUCAUUAUGUCAAAUUUGUAAUUCACCUUAGUCGAGCUUUAACAUGGUUCAUAUGCUUGAAGUUGGGUUUUUUUCUAAAUAUGUGUCUUGCCUUCCAAUUUUUUAUUUUAUUUUUUUUUUGUCUUCGAAAUGGGGUUGCAAAAAAUCUAAUCGUUGUCUUUCUUUUUUAAGUGUAGCUCUAUUUUGUUUUUUUUUUUUGCUAGUCACUAGUCAAAAUUUGAAAUUUUAUUCAAAAUUGCAGUUGUUCUUCUUUUAAGUAUUUACUUUCAUGUUAAUAUGCUUCUUCAUAAUCUGAGACGCGUGAUAGUAUCGUGUGAAUCUAUUCUCGUGUUGGUUUAAGUUAACAGUGUGUUUUGGCAUGAUCUUUUCAUGCUUCCUACGAUUUAGCCAUCAUAUAGGUCUGUCUGAUGAGCAUGAAUGCUACCCGAAUGCUAGUUGAAAUGCUAUUUGAUAUCAUAUUCGUACUUUCAAUUUUAUUCUCAUACAGUCUUGAAUUUGUGACUUGUAUUAAAAAUGAUCAAAGAUUAUUGUAUACAUAUACAUUGAUAAUACAAGUUGAUAGUGUCUGUUACACCUUUAUAUCAUUGUAAGAUCUCUUUCUCACUUGCUAGAAUAAAUACUAAGCAUUAUGUGCUGCUCGUAUGAAUUUUGGUAUUGCUAUUUGUUUUAACUCAGCUUGUCGAACACACAGAUAGAUUGAGCUCUUGGUUCUCGAUGUGUUUAAUUAGUAAUAUGUCUUUUAUCUGUAUAUUAUUACAGCAAAGCAUAAUUAUUGUCCAUUUCAUAAGAAGACAUCUUUAACUCUAGUUAGUUUCUUUUAAAAAUAAAAAAUCAGUAAGCAUGUUAGUAAACUUAACCAUAUUAAUUCUUCAUUUGCCUACUUGCAUGUUCAGUUAUUAAUUACUUUAAGUUUUUUGACUAACCUUGGCAUAAGAUCUUGUCACCUCUCUCGUCAUCACUCUCCUCUACUAUGUUAUUUCAUGCUUUGAAUAUUAUGAUCAUGAUUUGUUAGCUUUUAUGUUUGAAUUGGUGUGCAUAUUGUGGCUUAUGUUUACGCUUUGUUAGAAAUCAGUAACUACUUAAGUGUUAUAUGCGGUCAAGUAUUUUCAGUCUAAUUCUCCUCCUUUACUUUGUUUACAUGUGACAAUGGCCAAGUCUAUUUGACUCUAAUCCUUGCAUUUCCGAGUUGAGCCAUAAAGGCUUGAUCUUUGCUUUCCCUGUUAAUCAAGUCAGUCCCAUUAUAUUCGGAAGCUGUUACAGGUUCCAGAGCUCCAACAUGCUGCUGGAAAUUAGUCCAGAAGCCUAAGAAAUGGGCUAUAUACAUAUCGUAUACAUCAGUAUACAGCUGUAUACACUGAUAUACGGGUCAAAAACACAAAAACACAGAGCUAAGGAGAAAUACAGGUGUUUGGAAGCAAGAGAUACAUGAAAAGGGCCAAGAAACGAUCAAUAUACACCGAUAUACAGCUGGUGUAUACCAAAAACGGGAUUGAGUAAAUUCCCCAGAAAUUGCAGCGAAAUUGGCCCAAAAAGGAGGCCCAAAUUCAAUUUCUCCUUUACCUAACUUAUUUAAUUGUGUGAUUAUUUAUUUAUUUGUUUUUUUUAAAUUUGCGACUUUAAUUUAAUUUAAAUUCCCCAAAAGAUAAAACCAUAUUCUUUAUGUUAGUUCUUUAAAAUAAUUCAUUUUUAUCAACGUCUUAUGCUUAUUCAAAUAUUUUUAGUCAAAACUUUCACUUAUCUUUAAUUAGAUUAAAAUAAUUUCUUGGUUUGUCUAUCAAGCUGGUUCGAAUUAUUAUUUCUAAAAAAAAUGACGUAAAUAAAUUUUAAUUAAUCUAAUUUUGUUAAAAUCCUAAUUGACCAAGUUGUUUCAAGAUUUUCUAAAAAAUUAAGAAUGAUUCUUUAUUUAACUAUUUUUAUCAAAGUUAAUCGGAUAUCGUAAAAUAUUAUAUAUUUUAUGUUAAAUCAUUUUCCUAAUUUUUUUUUUAAAAGAUAUGUUAUUUAAGGGUCUUCUUCAUUUAAAUCACUUUUUUCACUCAUUUCAAAAUUGUUCUAAGUUAAAGUAUUUUUUAUUUAUUUUAUUUUAUUUUAUUUUUAAAAAAUAAACUUUAAAAAAUGUUAGUCAAAACCUUUUCAAUCGAUUAAUAAUAAUAAUAAUAAUAAUAAUACUUAUUUAAGUCAUUUUCUCAAAAAAGGUUAGUCAAUUAAAAAGAAAUGGUUUUCAUGUUUUAAUUUAUUAAAUUGUUUUAAAAUGAAUUAAAUAAAUUCUAAUUAAUCUAGUUUUAUUAAUAUUCCAAUCACUUGUAUUUCGAGUUGAAUGUAUCAUUUUAGAUCCCUUUCUCUAAAAAAAUAAAAAUGAAAUAAAAUGCGUCAUUUAUUUAAUUAUUUUCUUAAUCAAAUAUAUUAUAAGUUNNNNNNNNNNNNNNNNNNNNNNNNNNNNNNNNNNNNNNNNNNNNNNNNNNNNNNNNNNNNNNNNNNNNNNNNNNNNNNNNNNNNNNNNNNNNNNNNNNNNNUUUUAUUAAAAUUCUAAUGACUUGUAUUUCGAGUCAAAUGUUCUAUUUUGGAUCUUUUUCUCUAAAAAAUAAAAUAAUAAAAUAUGUCAUUUAUUUAAUUAUUUUCUUAAUCAAAUAUAUUAUAAGUUAUUAUUUUUUAUGUUAAAUUGUUUUUUUUUUUUUAAAUAGUCAAAUAUAUUUUAGUCGAGUCGCAGGUCAACCGCAUGUUAGUGGGCACUUCGAAUGCUUAAACCCUUCUCGAAGUGUAAAUUGAACCCCGAACCCUCUUUGGUAUUUUCAAAUAAUUUUUCUCUGUUUAAAUCUUUGAAAAUUAUAAGUUUCUUAAUUUCUUUAAAAAAAAUUAAGUGGCGACUCUUUCUAAGUAUUUUUUUUUUUUUGUUUUAUACUUGGAACAUUUCAAAAAGGUGAUUUUUCUAAAGGUUAGGAAAAUUACGGCACAACAGUUAAAGUACUAAAGUAAGUUUUGCUGCCAAGUUUAUGAGUUUUUUUUUUAUGUAUUAUCUCCUUUGCAUUGCGUAAGCAUAGAACACCUUAUUCUCGCUAGCUCUUAUUUUCUUCAUGGUUACUUUGCAGAACCUCAUUAGGAUUGAUAAGGUAAGUUCCAGCCCCCUUGUACUUAUUCCAACGGAGGAUUUUUAUUUUAUUAUCAAUAAAAGACCAUUGGACAUACUGUCUAGCAAUAAAUUCGAAGAAAAAAAUAAUUCUUCCUUCAAGUUCACUUUGCUUGUGUACGGCUGUUCCAAUUUUCUGGCCCAUUGUUUCUCAUUUUUUUUGGCUGCGUAUCAUGUUUCCUACAAUUUCUUGUCCUCGAGUAGUUCUGGAACCCUUUGGGUUAGUUUCUUGGUUCAUAACUUAAAUUUAUACGUCUUUUUCUUCCCAUAAAAUUCUCAAUCAUUUGUGUCAUUACCUUGCCAAAAAAGUAAGAAGGGAGCAAGGAUAUUCUUAUUUCUAACUGUAUACCCAUUUUGUAUUUUUGUGCAGAUAUGUACAGGCUGGAACUCUGACGAAUAACUAUUUUCACAUUUUUGCUAUGAUCGCAAUUCGCAUUCCUACAGAAGCGAAGGUACCAAGUCAAUACUUUAUAAAUGCUUGACAUGUGUGGAACCUUGAACAUUCUUCAUAAUUGUAGUUGAUGCUUGCAUUCAUCUUCUUGUUUUUGUUUUCUAAUUGACUCUCUUUGCUGCUUCAAUUAGAGUGAAAACGGCAUUUGCUCCUUGGAUAAAAUUGACUCUCUUUCUCCUCAUUCUUUUUCUUUCAACUUCUUCUCUUCUUCCUUUCUUUCUACCAACUUCCAACUUUCUAUUCUUGCAAAUAGUCAUUUUCUGCUUCUUCCCAAUACAUUUCUAUUUGUGGAUAGAUAUGAAUGUUUUGCAACUUCUUUUAUUUUUAUCUUCAGGUUCCUGUCAUUAGGUUCAUUGAAUAUACAAUUAUGACUUGUAUUUAUCUGUUGAAUAAGAACAUGUUAUGUGGCUCAUCCGUUGAUCUUUGCUAAGUUUUCUUAAUGGAUCCUUGGUGGAAUCCUGUGGUGGAGCAGCAAGCCCAAGAUAGAAUCCAUAGAAUAGGGCAAUAUAAACCAGUCAAGUGUCUGUCGUAUUUAUUCUACUUUGAAUGGAGCUUAUUGUUGUUUUCAAAUUUGCAGGAUUGUGAGAUUUGUGAUUGAGAAUAUAAUUGAAGAGAGUAUCUUAGAGUUGCAAGAGAAGAAGAAAUUACUUUUUGAUGGGCAAGUGUGUUUUUCUUAUAGUCGUCUACAUAGUUGCAUUUGUCUUCUGAAAAAAAUAAAGUAUUUUGAUGAUUUUCCCUUGCAAGUUUUUUUUGGUAACCAAUGUAAAUUACCAUUAACAAAUGAUAAACAAAUACACCUAAAGAGCACUCUAGUUAAGCCUCUUAUAGAUCUCUCCAACAACCAACAAUACUUAUUCGCCUUUCUAGACCGUUUAACUAACUCAAGUCUGUCUGCAAAUUCCUUCUUAAUUUGUGUCAUGGCUGUAUCUGUAUUUACAGUGACGCCUUUAAACAACUUUCAGUUCCUUGCUCUCAAAACCUGGUAUAUCAUUGCUCCACACAAUGCAGCAAUAAGUUCCUUGUGAAACUGUUGCCAAUUCUUCCUUUUGAGUCUAUUUAGAAUAUGUUUGACAGUUCCAGAAGGAAUCGAUGUCCCAGACCAUUGUUGCAUUUCAGCUUAGUGUCAAUCUUUUUAUUACAUUCCUUCUUUGCUCCCUUCCUCCGCUCUUUCUCUAAAAAAAACAUUUUCCCCUAACUGUUCGUUUUUCCUUUGAUUGCAGGACAGGUGGUUUUACUUCAGAGGCCUUAGGAAAACUAACAACCAAGGACUUGACAUCCCUGUUUUAUCAUCACUUUUGAUAUGUUCUAUUUCUUCGGUUUGGCAAACUAAUUGACAUUUAUUUGUUCAGCUUCUAGUCAAAUUCUGUACAAAGUGUUCUACAUUUGCUUUUAGGCUGUAUGGAAUCUGAUCUAUUUAAAGAGUGUUUCUGUUGCUUCUACAUGUUAGUUGAUAAGAAUCACCUUCAACAGUCAUUAGCUUCAUCAAUUGUUCUUAUUGUUUACUUCUAUUUUAACUUCACUUGCAUAAUAAAAAGUGCAUCAGAAUGCAUACCCUCAAGGUAAGGUCAUGGAAAUGUGCAUCUUCCAUUUAGUUUAAAAGGUUCCUUUAUUUUAAAAAGAUUAGGAUUAGGAAUGUCACUGUAUCUUUCUUCUAGGCCAAAAUGGUGAAUUUUGAAGCUUUAUUCACACUGAAUUUAGUAAUCGAAAGCUCUGUAAUGUUAAUUAUUCUAAUUAUUUUUCGUUUUGAAUAAUUUGUUGUCUUUUUUCUCUCUGUUGAAUGAAUCAUUUUUUAAAUUUUGUGUAUAGUUAAUGACCUAUAACCGAAUCGAACCGAAAUCGAUAAAUGUACAUUGUAUUUGGUUUUUCCAAUUUUAUAGAUUUUACACAAAUCUCAUAGUGUUAAGAGCUAAUUACGUCUUAUCCCUACUCUUUUCCAAAUUAUUACAAAAAUCCAUUAAAUUUGGUGGAAUCCGGAUACAUCCCAAAACGUCUCGAUACAUCACAUUCCGAUUUUGGAUACAUCCUAAUACAUCGCAUCUUGGUUUUGGAUACAUCACGUACGUCCCGAUACAUUGCGUAAACUGAUGUAUCCAACUGACACGUCACGUAAAGUAAUAUCUCGAUAUAUCGCAAAGUGAUGUAUCCGAUCAAUACAUCGCAAAGUGAUGUGUCCGAUUGAUACAUCGUGUAAACUAGAGAUUUUUGUAAUUUUUUCAUAUGGUAGAGAAUUUUAGAAAAUAUAGUAAAAUAAAUUGUGUAUUUAAGUCAUUUUUCCAAUUUAAAAAUCGAUUAAAUUAAUUUAAUUUCGAUCAAUAAUCGACCCAACCCGACUCGUGGACACCCCUAUAGAUGACAUAUUUGAACGUUUUCUCUUUAAAGAAUGGUGAGCUACAAUAUAAUCUAGUUUAUACAUAACGUCAUAAUUGAUUAUAUAAAUUCAAGAACUUUUAACCCAAAAAUAAAUGACGGAUUAUCUGAACCUCCAUAAAUUUGACGUGUUUUAUUUAGAUUUUCACGUAAGCUAUCCAUCAAUCAUAUUAAUUACCCUAUCAAAUGAGUCAAGUUAAUUCGGGGAUACUUAAGACUAUUUAUAGUUAAGCAAAUCUGGACAGAACAGGCCAAAUUUAAGUUUAUCGGACGAAAAAAAAAAAGUAAAUAGAGAUUAUAACAUUGGUCAAACACUUAAAAAUGGUUUUUUUUAAAAUUUAUUUAACGCGGUAAAAUUCCUUUUUCUAAAAAAGAAGGAAAAUGAGUAUUCAAAAAUAAGCAUUUGGUGAAUGAAAAUUUUUAGUCAUUUUAAACUUAUUUUAAGUUAUUUUUAACCUUAUCAAACACUUCCUAACUUAUUUUAAGUCAUUUUUUUGGAACUUAUUUUAAAUUAUUUUUAUACUUGUCAAACACUUAUAGAAAUAAAAAACUGACUUAAAUGUAGGUUUGACCAACUUUUAAGUCAAUUCAAAUACCCUUGUAAUCUAAUUUAACUUUAAAAUUAGUCAAAUUGACUUUUGAAAAGCACAAUAUGACAAAUAAAAAUGGACAAAGAGAGUAUUAAAACUUCAAACACAGUAUAUAUAACACAUUAAUUUCCUAGAGCAUCUAGAUUUUUCUUAAGUAUAAAUAUCAAAGAUAUUUACUCUACAAAAUUUUAGAAAGACCUACUAAAUAUCUGAGAUAUUUUUUGUAUCUCCAAAAUUCUAGAAAGUUCUACUAAAUAUCUAAGAUAUUUUUUGUACCUCCAAAAAAAUAACUUUAAUUUUUCACAAGAGGGAGUAUUUAAACUUCAAACACAGUAUAUAUAUAACACAUUACAUUCCUUAUAGGGGGAAGGAAACAUAAAGUAAUGGAGAUUGUUACUUACCAUUUCUUAGCCUUAUUUUUAUUAGCAAUUACCUUUGUAAUAUAUGCAUGGAGAUUGUUGGACUGGGCAUGGUUUAGGCCAAGGAAAUUGGAGAAAUGCCUUAGAAAACAAGGUCUCAAAGGGAACUCUUACAAAUUGAUUUAUGGAGACAUCAAAGAGCUGUCUAAAAGCAUUGAAGAUGCAAAGUCCAAACCAUUGAAUGCCUCUGAUGAUGACUUAACACCAAGAAUUCUCCCUUAUUUCGUUCAAACAAUCAAGAAAUACGGUAAUUUUUUGUUUUCUUUUCAUUGGUUUUCUCAUGUAUUUGUUUUAGGGUUUGAUUAGUUUGAAUUCACAUAUGGAGUAAAGUGUACUUCAUUUCAAAGCUCAAACUCGAGAUCUUUGAUUAAGCUCUUGUUUGACCAUUGAUUUUGAAGUUGAAGCUUGAGAAUUGAGUUUUUGAAGUUAUGAUUUUUUUAACUUAAAGUUGUUUUACUUGGGAAUUUUUGAAGUUUUGUGAGUGAAAAGUGAAAUUUUUCCACCAGUUUUAUGGAACUUGGAGAUUUCAAAGUUUGUUUCAAAUCUAUGGUCAAACAGAUAUUUCAAGAUGCUUUUUCAGAAGUUUUGAUCCAAAAUCUAUGACCAAACGCGAGGUAAGGAUAGAGGGGUGCUUACCCGCCCACAACAACAUGAUCCAAUGACUCAACUAUAGAUAUCAAGUAGGAGUUCGGAUAAACUAGUUACUUUUGCUUGGACCAUAUAUUUAUAAUAGGAAAUUUAUUAAAUAUGCAUACAUAUUUAGUUUCAAAUCCAACAAGUAUAAUGAGAAUCUAGCUAUAAAUUUCAAGUUCUAACUCCACAUCUUUCUAUACUUGUGAAAAGUAAGAAAAGUUGAGCUAAGAAUUUUUGGCCUUGCAAUAUUGUACAGGUAAAAACUGUUUUAUAUGGGUUGGGCCAAAGCCUUUGGUAAUCGUAGGGGACCCUGAGGUAAUAAGGGAUGUGUUUAACAAACAUGCCCUCUAUCAAAAGCCAAAAUACCCUCCACAGACCAAGUUGCUGGCAAAAGGAAUUCUAAGCUAUGAAGAUGAUAAAUGGGCAAAGCAUAGGAGAAUUCUCAAUCCUGCUUUCCAUAUGGAGAAGAUAAAGGUAUUUUAUCAUUCCUCUCCCUCCCAAAAGCAUAAUAUAUUUUCACAUAGGGGGGAAGCUAAGGGGACAAAAGGGGUUCAUUUGAAUCCACUUUGUUGAAAUGUUAAAUUUGUUUAUUUUUACGUAUGUAUAGUAGAUGUUGAAUUCCCUUGGUUUCUUGGUGUGUUCAAGUAUUAACAGUUUAAGUUUUUAAAUAAGAUAGUCACGCAAUGCAACAAAAAACCUCAUCUCCAUAAUCACAAAUUCACGAUAUCAUCCCCCCCCCCCCAGAAGCUCCCCUCCUUUUAGCUCCUUUAGUGACUCGAACCCACAAUCCUAGGUUAGAGGUGAAGGGUGCUUACCGUUUGAGCAACUCUCCAUGUAUCACAAAUUCAUGAUAUUGACUCUGCUUUCAUUCUGUUUUCUCUCUAGCUUGCAAUUAUGGCCUAAGUUUUUUUAGGAGAUAAUAUUUCUACAAGAUGCAGUUGGUUUAAUUUGUAUUAAUGAGUGGUUUACAAUGUGUAGGAUAUGCUUCACACAGUUCAUUUGAGCUGCAGUGAAAUGGUGAGUCAAUGGGAGGAGGCUGUCUCAAUGAAAGAAUCGUCCACCGAACUCGAUAUAUGGCCUUACCUUCAAAGAUUGACUAGUGAUGUUAUUUCUCGCACAGCCUUUGGGAGCAACUAUGAGGAAGGUCGAAAGAUAUUUGAGCUUCAAAAAGAACAAGCUAAGCAUGUCAUUGAAGUUUCUCGCACCUUAUAUAUUCUGGGAUGGAGGUAAUACGACGUCGUUUUUUCAUAGUUUAAGUUAUGUAUUACAGAGUUCAUCACUAAUCUGUUGCUAAAUGGCCCCUAGCUAACAUAUUUUUUGGUAAUGGUUUCUAAUCCGUCCUUAAAUAGGAUCAUCGACAAGUUUUUGUGGAAGUUGUACGCCGCUAAUACCUAUGUUUGAUGUUUCUAUAGUGCCUUCAAUGACAAGUUAAAAUACAUUGAUAGAGUAAAAACUAUUUACGUGUGUAUAUAACUUAAACCCUUCUUCCCAGUAUCUAUAUCCAAAUAUAACAGGAAAAGAAGUUUAAAAUAGUGAUUAUUUGAUGAUGAUAUACAUGUUUUUUUGUGUUAAACUAAUGUAGGUUCUUGCCAACUAAGAGAAACAGAAGGAUGAAGGAGAUUGAGAGAGAAGUUCAAGCAACAAUUAGGGGAAUUAUUGAUAAAAGAGUGAAGGGAAUGAAAGCAGGGGAGGCCAAUACUGAUGACCUAUUAGGCAUAUUGUUGGAAUCCAACUUUAAAGAAAUCGAGCAACACGGUAACAAGAAUUUUGGUAUGACUAUAAAAGAUGUUAUUGAGGAGUGUAAGUUGUUCUUUUUUGCUGGACAAGAGACAACCUCUGUAUGGCUUGUAUGGACUAUGAUUUUGUUAAGCAGACAUCCAGACUGGCAAGUUCGCGCUAGAGAAGAGGUUUUGCAACUUUUUGGAGAUGGCAUGCCAGAAUUUGAUGGAUUAAAUCGCUUGAAAGUUGUAAGUUAUUUUAGCUUGCUUACCUUCCUUUUAAUUUACAUAUCUCCGCAACACAUGGUGUUACUUUUAUUUAGCGUCGGAUUAAGGAUUUAAACUUACGUUCUUUGCAUUGAACUCAUUGUUAUACACUCUCCCUUUGUUCCAUUUUGUGUGACGGUCUUUUCUUUUUAGUUUGUUCAUAAAAGAAUGACAUAUUUAAUCUUUAAGUUUCCAAUUACCCUUGAUGGAACACUUUUAUAGCCAUAGAAAUAUCAUGGAAUGUUUAUGAUCUCAAGUUUUAAAAGUUUUUUUUUCUAUUUAACUCCAUGCCCAAUCAAAUAGUGAGUAUGUGUUUGUUUGAAUCGUUUGUGGAAAAUAUUAGAUUCAUUUGAACACGUUCGACAUAGGCUCCAUCAAUCUUUGGUUCUAUGUUCUUGAUUUCCUUAUUACUUUAAUAAUUCAAUGCUGAACUCAUUUUAACAAUAGGUGACAAUGAUUUUGCACGAGUCAUUAAGGCUAUAUCCACCAACUGCUGCACUAGGUCGAAGGAUUACAACUAAAAUGAAGCUAGGGAAACUAAAUUUACCAGAAGGAGUGAUGCUGUCUUUGCCAACAAUUUUAGUGCAUCAUGACAAGGAAAUAUGGGGUGAAGAUGCAACAAAGUUCAAGCCAGAGAAAUUCAGUGAAGGAAUUUCAAAGGCAACUAAGGGCCAAAUGACGUUUUUCCCAUUUGGCGCGGGACCUAGGAUAUGCAUUGGACUGAACUUCGCAAUGAUAGAAGCGAAGAUGGCUAUGGCUAUGAUUCUGCAACGCUUUGCGUUUGAACUAUCUCCUUCGUACACUCAUGCUCCACAGUCUGUAAUAACUAUGCAACCCAAAUAUGGUGCUCCUCUAAUGUUGCAUAAAUUGUAAGUUGAGAGUUACAUGAAAUGCCUUGCAUUGAAUUAAUAACUAUGUCAAACAAGCAUAAUUAAGUUGAUAUAUAUUGCAGCUUUGGUCUCUGCUUUUUCCCGUAAACAACGAGAACUCAUCCUCGGUGUUUUUUUUUCUUCCAGUUUUAUGUGCAAUUUUUAUUGUUUAAAAGUUAUUUUUAUGAUUGGAAUGUAUGAUCAGUCUUUCUAGUUGAUUAUAAUUUUUUGUGUUUCCCAAUUUUUACCGACGACUGUAAUGAUUUCAUCCGGUGAUUAUCCGAGAGGAAGUUUGGGAACAAAAGAGCCAAAUUGAGAUUCUCUCAUCGUUCAAAUGAGGAAGGAAUUUGUGUUUCCUAUAGAGUAUAUUUUUUUCUGCCAUAAUAUCUUUGACAGACUGUUAUCUGGCAGUUUUUUUUUCACAGAUAUCUAUAUACCUCACAUAAGAAAUGAAUGAAUGCAAUAUACAUUUUUCUCAUUUCACAAAUUAGUUCUCUCUCUCUCUCUCUCAAUAAUGGAGUUGGCUACUCCAUUGAUGCUCAACAUUGAGCUAGAUUGAAGUUUGACAUGGUAUCAGAGUCACACGGCUAAUUCCGUGAUUCCGUCACGCAAUGUUCCACUGCCAGUUCACAAUCAAUUGCUCCUCUGAUCGAUUAUCCCUGUUUCUUCCCCUUUUAUCUCGAUUUUUUUUUCUGCUAUGGGCGAUCAAACUGACGGUGUCGUCCCUCCGAGUAGGACUGGGAAAUCGACCAUUGAUGCAACCAGUCCACUCUAUGUACAUCCUUCAGACAAUCCCGGGGCAAUGUUGGUACCAGCACCAUUUGAUGGAAUUGGGUACAGAUCCUGGAGAAGAGGUGUCCUGCGUUCUCUUUCUGUGAAGAAUAAAGUAGGUUUCUUCACCGGUGACUGUGUGAAGCCAAAUAUGCCAUCUCCUGAGCUACGACAAUGGAAGAGAUGUGACGAUAUGGUAACUUCCUUGAUCCUCAACUCUCUUUCUAGGGAAAUUGCAGAUAGUGUUGAGUAUGCUAGUAAUUCAGUAGAACUCUGGAAAGAAUUGGAGGAACGAUAUGAUCAAACCAAUGGUGCGAAAUUAUAUCAAAUACAAAAAGAAAUCAAUGACAUGGCUCAAGGCAAUCUCGACAUCACUACUUACUACACUAGGCUGAAAAAGCUAUGGGAAGAAUUAUGUACUUUGAAUGCUAAAACUCAUUGCACCUGUGUUUGCACUUGUGGUGCAAAGGAUAACUUGCACAAAGCAGAACAAGAGAGAAGAUUGAUUCAUUUCCUCAUGGGACUUAAUGAAGUGUACACUGUGGUGAGGGGGAGCAUCCUCAUGGUGAAUCCACUGCCAAGUAUGGUGCAUGCUUUUUCUAUAUUGUUCCAGGAGGAAAACCAACAAGAGUUCAAGCCAACAAAUUAGUUCAUUAUGGAGUCCACCUCUGUUAUUGCAGGUUCAUCUGGGGCUUCUUCUUCAAGACCAAUUACUCCCCCAACAUCUAUCCUCCUAUACCCAAUUAUUCACUUGGAAGCUCCUCUAGCAGCCACUCUGGGAGGAGACCUAUGUGUGAAUAUUGUAAGAGGCAAGGGCACACAAAGGAUAAGUGCUACAAAUUGCAUGGCUAUCCUACUGGUCCACAAUAUAGCACCAACACUCAAAGCUAUAAUAAUCAGAAUUACCAGAACUACAAUAGUGGUCAGGGGCAUAAUCAACACCAAUCUUACCGGUUCAACAAAGGAAAGGGGAAAGUAGCGAAUGUGCAUGGAUAGCCUGUUGAUGAUGUAACAGAUAAGGGAAGGUCUAGCCAUCCAGAGUGAGGAUCAAAACGUUAGCCUAACCAAAGAGCCAUAUGGACAGAUGAUGCAAUUGCUGAGAUAAUUUCAAAGCAGUGAUGGCUCAGACAACACUCAUGGAGCUGCAAACUUUGCAGGUACUGUGAUCUGCAAUUCUUCAAUUGAUUUUAGUAAACCAUCUUGUAAAUGUUUUGAAUCAAAGGCUGACUUGUGGAUCCUAGACUCAGGAGCUUCCAACCACAUGACCUUUAACAAAAACUCAAUGACCAACAUCAAAACAUUACCAUAUCCAAUACUUAUUAGUCUUCCCAAUGGUUAUAAGGAUAAGGUACAAGAAUUUGGUGAUGUAACACUUACCCCUGAGAUUACCAUACAUAAGGUGUUGUUUAUCCCAUCUUUCAAAUACAAUUUGAUUUUUGUUCACUCCUUAACUGUUCAACUCAAGUCUAUUGUCCUCAGGAGAUUGGUAGUAGCAGAUGUUAGAAUAGAAUAUGUACACACAAUCCUACACAGAAUAGGAAUAGUUUAUAAUCUCCUAUUUGGUAAGGAAUUGUAUUGUAGUAUCUAUAAAUAGGGUUCUCUAUGUAAUAAUUAAAACAACAAUUCAAUAAUAUUCUUCUCCAAUAUUUCUCACAUAGUAUCAGAGCAAUUGUGAGAGAAAAAAUAGAAAUAAAAAAAAUCGCACACUUUUUUUCCGGUAACCUAGUGGCUGUCCGGGUAAUUAAUAUUUUCCGUCAUUGUUUUUCAAAAAUUAACACCACCACUAGCUGAGGAACUUCCCGGCGAGCAAACCCCAAUCAUCCCCGCCAGAAACCAGUGCUACACACACCGUCACGCGCCUCCGGAAGAAUUUCUCCUGCGAGUUGUCAGAUCCACGCGCCGGCGCGUGAGACCUGUUCCGGUCAAUUUUUCGACAAUUUUUUUCCUAUCUGGGUCGCCUCUUCAUUCCGAGGCUAACCAUAUAAUCUUUUCCUAAUUCCGACCAAUAUUUGGCGAUCAGAUCUACUUUUCCGGCAACAACCUAUUUCUUUUCCAGAUUCCGACAGAAAAAAAAAUCCAAUUUUUUGGCUACUCAUUACAGUUUAUUAUUAUUAUUAUUUUAUUUUUUUUGGCUACAUAUUCUAAUUUCACAACAUGUCUUUCGGGAUUGAUACUUUUGGCUCCAAGAAUAUAGGAAUUGGAAGUUCAAUCCCUAUGAUCUCUUCCUGCUAUUACUUUGGCCAAUGGGAUACAAACAAAACCAAAAGGGGUUGGAAAAGCCACACCUCUAUCUUUUGUCACUCUAGACUCUAUUCUAUAUGUCCUUGGUUCUCCUUUUAAUCUGGCAUCUGUUAGUCGUUUCACACGUGCCCUACAUUGUAGCAUAACCUUUUUUGAUGAUUUUUUUCUCAUGCAGGACCGCAGUACGGGACAGACGAUUGGCACAGGACAUGAAUCACAAGGCCUUUACUAUCUUACCUCUUCAACUUCCUUCACAGCAUGCUCCGUUACAGAUCAUCUGGACCUCAUUCACAAACGUUUGGACAUCCGAGUCUAUCCAAACUGCAACAGAUGGUGCCUAGUUUAUCUAGUUUAUCCAAAUUAGAUUGAGUCGUGUCAACUUAGGAAACACACUCGUGCCACAUUUUCACGUGGUACUGAGGGGCGUUCAGAGUCUAUUUUUUCAUUAGUUCAUUCUGAUAUUUGGGGUCCUAGUAGAGUCAGUUCCACCUUAGGAUUUCGUUAUUUUGUUAGUUUCAUUGAUGAUUAUUUGAGAUGUACUUGGGUUUUCUUAAUGAAAGAUCGUUUUGAGUUAUUUUCUAUAUUCAAAGUUUCUUUGCUGAAAUACAAAAUCAGUUUGGUGUUGCUAUUCGUACUUUUCGUAGUGAUAAUGCCUUAGAAUACUUAUCAUCCAGUUUCAAGAGUUUAUGUCUCACCAAGGAAUUAUUCACCAAACAUCUUGUCCAUACACUCCUCAACAAAAUGGUGUAGCAGAAAGAAAGAAUAGGCAUCUCAUUGAGACUGCUCGCACUCUCCUCAUUGAAUCUCAUGUUCUGCUGCGUUUUUGGGGAGAUGCAAUCCUUUCAUCUUGUUAUUUAAUUAAUAGAAUGCCCUCAUCUUCUAUUCGGAAUCAGGUUCCACAUUCCAAACUGUAUCCUCAGUCACAUCUCUAUUCUAUCCCUCCUCGUGUAUUUGGGAGCACAUGCUUUGUUCAUAACUUAGCCCCAGGAAAAGAUAAAUUAACCCCUCGUGCUCUUAAAUGUGUCUUUCUUGGUUACUCUCGAGUUCAAAAAGGGUAUCGUUGCUAUUCACAUGAUAGGAAUAGUUUAUAGUCUCCUAUUUGGUAAGGAAUUGUAUUGUAGUGUCUAUAAAUAGGGUUCUCUAAUGUAAUAAUUAAAACAACAAUUCAAUAAUAUUCUUCUCCAAUAUUUCUCACAGCAGAGAUGGAUUGUAUUACCUGUGUUCAAAAUGUUUGAAGAGCAGAAAAUUCAUCCCUAAGGCAGAUUUCAUUUCCUCUUGUAAUUGUAUUUCCAAUUCCAGUUUCAAUUCUAGCUCUAGUCUUUCUGAUUCAUCUUCUUUGCAUUCAGUUGUUGAUACUUAAUCUUUGUUUCCAUGUAAUGCAAAUGUUCCUCUCCAAGUUGCUCUUCCUUGUUCAUCUAGUAAAAAUGAUGUAGACUUGUUGUGGCAUAAUAGGCUGGGACAUGUUCCUUUUGUUAAAAUGCAAAGCAUAUCUUCUAUCCCUUCUCAGUUUUCUUCCAAGAAGCCUCUUAUGUGUACCAUAUGUCCCAUGGCCAGACAAAACAAACUCCCAUUUCCCACAAAAACCACCGAAACUACCAAAAUCUUUAAAUUGCUUCACAUUGAUCUCUGGGGACCUUAUCAUACUUCAACAUAUAACAAUUACAAAUAAUUCCUUACCAUAGUGGAUGAAUUUAGCAGGUCCACUUAGACACACCUAUUAAGCUGCAAAAGCAAUACCUUGCAGGUUAUAAAGACCUUCAUCUCCUUGAUUGAGACUCAAUUUAAAACCACCUUUAGCUUGAGUUUUAUAGUACAGAACUCCACCUUGAGUUUCAAAGUGAGGGGUCGGCUAAUACAUGCUUGAUGCUCAUUUUUACUUUUAUUGAAUGUAGAGGGAAGAAAUUAGCAACAUGGUUGAAAGGGAUGGUUCUGCAGAAGGAUUAGUUUUUAGCUAGUUCACAUCGUUUUUGGAUUUGAUACAGUAUUCUCUUAAAGUAAGAUAUAACAGUACUUUCUCCUUCCUACUUUCCCUUCUUCCUUUCAGACUAACAAAAAAGAAGCGUGUAUUGUGUGUAUUCAGCUGUCAGGCAUCAAUUGUGUUCAAUUAGUAUCCAUGUCUAUUGCCGUAAGAGAUGCUGCAGUUAACAGAUUCAAUGAGGAUUCAGAUUGCAGGAUAUUGCUUAUGUGCUUGAAAUCUGGAGGUGUUGCCCUCAAUCUUACAGUUGCUUCACAUGUAAGGAUCUAUUUUCUUUCUCUGGGUACCUCCCUAAAUUCUUAAUUCUUGUGCAUAUCUAAUGUUGCAUUCCUAUUAUAUUUCCUGUUAUUUAGUUCAUUUGAUAUACAAUUAUGACUUUUGUUUAUCUGUUGAAUAGCACAUGCUUGGUGGCUCAUCUCUUAAUCCUUUCUAGGAUUUCUUAAUGGAUCCUUGGUGAAAUCCUGCGGUGGAUCAGCAAGCCCAAGAUAGAAUCCAUCGAAUAGGGCAAUAUAAACCAGUCAAGUGUGUGUUGUGUUUCUUCUGCUUUGGAUGCCAUUGAAUGGGAGCUUAUUGUUGUUUUCGAAUUUGCAGGAUUGUGAAAUUUGUGAUAGAGAAUACAAUUGAAGAGAAAAUCUUGGAGUUACAAGAGAAGAAGAAAUUACUUUUUGAAGGGCAUGUUUGUUUUUCUUAUAGUCGUGUACAUAGUUGCAUAUGUGUUCUGACAAAAAUGAAGUAUUUUGAUGAUUUUCCCUUGCAAGUUGUUAUUGUCAAUCUUUUUAUUAGAUUCCUUCUUUGCUCCCUUCCUCCGUUCUUUCUCUAGAAAAUCAUUUUCCCCUAGCUGUUCGUUUUUCCUCUGAUUGCAGGACAAUUGUUGGUUCUUCAGAGGCCUUAGGAAAGCUAACAAACGAGGACUUGACAUCCCUGUUCUAUUAUCACUAAUUGACAUUUGCAUUGUUCAGCUUCUAGCAAAAUUCUGUACAAAGUGUUCUGACAUUUGCUUUUAGGCUUUAUGGAGUUUGAUGUGUCCAAAGAGUGUUUCUGUUGUUUUUGGCUGUAUGGACUUGACAUGUGCUUUCUUUGGUUUCGUUUUAAAAGAGGAUUAAACUGCUAAAGCUUAUAUACGACUACUUACUAGUUACUACAAAUAGAAACUGCCAAUAAACUGAAAGUUACUAACCAGAGACAAAAGUAACUAGCUAUACAAGUCACGAAUACAGAGAUCAUAAACAAAAGAAAGCAAGUGACAACAAAAAAUGUGAAAACUAGUACUCUCGUAGUUACAUUACAAUCAUCCAAAACAUGAAUUAGAAAGUUUUCCACACCACACUUAGACAGUGCACUGUCCCCAAUGCACAUCAAGUGAAGUACAAAACAGAGAGCACCAGCAUAUAUUCCUAUCUUCUCAUCCUCAGGACCCUCUACGAGUUGAUAUCCAAAAAAGCCUGAGAAGCUGGGAUAUUCUUAUCUCCCACAUACUACUCAGGACUGGACCUCUUUGGUGGUCAGACGAAUUUCUUACCUUUGGAGCAAUUGGUCCAGACCGUCCGCCCCAUUAUUAAUUACUUUAGCUUAUUUACAAAAUACUCAUGAUCAACUUAGGAGCUCGGAUUCACAUUCAGGCAAUUCAAAGAACAUCUAACCAGCAGAGAACUUUGUGCUUGUGUUCACAAGUGAAAGACUGUCUCACGGUGAGACUCUCACCCUUACAAAAUUUAGUUCACAUGCCAUCAUGCUAGAUAUAGGAAUUUGGGGAUGCCGGAGCUGGCUCAUGAAGGAUAGUUCAUGAACAAGAUCAGAGAAAAUACUCCCUUCAUCCUAAUUUAUGUGCCAACUUCUUGAAAUUUGUGAUGUAAAACAAAUGUUAUAUAUUUAUGUGGUUAUAGAGAAGGGCCUAUGCUACACAAAUAUUUGAAUUGGUACAAAACUACCUUUCCUCCACCUUUUUUCCCUAAAAUACUCCCGGCGUCUACCUUUUGGCUCAAAAAUACCCUCGAUGUUAAUCAAUUGGCUCAUGUUUGCCCUUAUUUUUAAUAGCCCCCUUAAAGUAAAAUUAUUAAAUAUUUAUUUAUUAUGUUGCCUAAUGUAAAUGGUCCAAAUUUAAACCCUUCUCAAAUAAAUAAUAAAAAUCAUAUUUUAAAAAAAAAAAAAUUUAAUAAAAACACAUAUAAUUCAUAUUUUGACUCGAUACACUUGAAAAUAAGAUUGAAAAAAAAUAUUAAUUUAAUGAUAUUUUCCCAUUGGCAUAUUUUAAAUCAACCCCAAAUUUAUUAUAACUCAACUCAUAAAUGGGGAUCCAAAUAGAAAAAAAUGGAAGAGAUAAGAAGUGAAGGGGUGGGGAGGAGUGUAGAGAGUAGAUGCCUAACUUUUUUUUUAUAUAUUUUUAAUUUACUAUGAAAUUCAAAAUCAAAUCAAUCAUAUAUUAAGUAAUUUCAAAUUAUUUUAAUGGAAAAAGGCUUAAAAUGCCCUUAAACUAUGAGAUUUUGUACAAUAUUGUGCUCCAUCCACCUUAUGAGUAUGAUUGUUAGAUAUAAGAGUAUUUUUGAGCCAAAAGAUUGGUGUCAGGGUUAUUUGGGGGUCCAAAUUGAGAGACAUUUUAGGCCCUUUUCCGAUUAAUUAUUAAGGUAAAAGGAAAAUUUUAAAAUAAAUUGUUUCUAAUUUUAAAAAGUUAACAUUUUUUUUUAAGAAACAUUUUUGUCAAAAGAGAUAUCAACUACUCGAAUCAUAUAUUAAGAAACCGAGAGAAACUUGAUCUUUUUUAUUGCUCGCAGAAAACAACAAUUUCAAAUAGUAUUUGAAAAGCACUAGUUUAGCCCGUUUGGCCAUGCUAUAUGGUAUUAUGAUAUGGAAUCAUGAGAUGAAAUUGAAAUUUUGUUUGGACAUGCGAUAUGUAAUUUUUGUGUUGUAUAUUUUCUCAUAAAUAUAAAAAUCUCAUAAGUUGUAAAACUAUUAAAAUAGCCCCAAUUGUUUAUUCAAUCUUAUCAAAUAAACAAAAAAUUAUAAAAUCGCAUAAUAAAUUAUUACAAAGCUAUUUGUUCUCCAUUUAAGUAAUUGUUUCAUCUAACUUUAAUUUAAUAAAAAAAAAUUGAACAUAAAUUGUAGUGUACUAGUCUUUAAUAUAAUCCUCCCACAUAGUACGGACAAUUUCCUCACGUUAAACUUGCAUUUCUCGAUCAUGUGACUGAGAAGACGAACCAACAUUGUUACUUUGAGUCAUUUGUUGGUCAAUAUCGUCCGCAGCUAUAUUUUCAUGCUCAUAGACCAUAAAUAUUUCAUCACUUUAAUAAUCGGUUGGUGUGAGUUAAAGUGACUAUGUGUCGGUGAGAAUAAUAAAUUUUAAAAAGUAAUGAUGUGAUUAUAAAUUUUAUUUACAUAUGAAAUAAAUGGUUAAUAGAUAUAAAUGUGAGGUUGUUUUAACAAAAUAUGAUCAACUUUUAUAUUAAAAUAUCUCAAAUCAUGAUAUGGAAUUCUCAUAUAAUUCCAUAUCAUGGUUUUUGGAGAAUAUGAAAUCACAUCUCAUGAUAUGAAAUCAUGAGAUGAAAUCAGCGUAAAAUCACAUGUUCAAAUGUUGAUUCCAUUUUACGAUACCAUAUUGCAUGGCCAAACGCCUGCUAAGUAAAAUAACAUCAACUAAUUAGGACUACUAAAGUUAAGUUAACCGGAAACUUAAAAGACUUUUCUUCCCAUAAAACUCUUGAGUCUUUUGAGUCGUUACUUCGCCUCCAGAAAGUACGAAGAGGAUAUUUUCCCUUCUCCUUCUUCCAAAGCUCUUGAAUUUCUUGUAUGAAAUUGGAUGAUUUUGAAAUGCCCAAAAAUGAAUGAUGUGUAAAUUUGAAUACCCUAUUCCUUUAAUUUUCUCGUAUUGCUGUCAAAUUCCUUAUCUGAAAUUCCAUUACGUAUUGAGAAGGAUAGAAAUGAGGAAAUAUGAAGGUAAAGGGAUACGAAAGAAAAGGAGAUACUGGAAGAUGAUAGAGAAUACGACUACUACAACACAUUGUACCAUAGAAGCAGAGCACAGUUCGGUAUGUAUGCUAUCUCUCUCUGAUAUUUCGUUUUCAAGCUCCAGUCAGGGUUCCGCUGCUCCCUUCUCUGUCACUAGGGCUAUUUGCUUAGAUUUGAAUAGGUAUGCUAAAUCUGUCAACUACCUGUUACACAAGGGUAAACAACACCAGUUCAUAAUGUCUAGAGAAGAAACCUCAAAAGCUUUUGUUUGAAUAUCUUUUUCUAAUUUACCGCCAUAGUUAUGUACAAACAGUCUCGUUACUAUCCAUUGCGUUGGCACCGGGUAAGCCAAUUAAUAUUGAUAAAGAAACCCAAGAGAAGUCAAGACCAAACACAACUAGGGUUGAAGUCGAACUGGAUUUAUUGGCUAAGCUGCCACAACGAAUGAAACUUCAACUUUCAACUUUUGUAAGCACCAAGGCCAUAAUAAAAGUGAAUGUCGAUUGCUAUUGAUAAAGAAUUCAACAAAAAAUCAAGAAGAAGCAUCGAAAAUUGGAACUUCUUUAGAUGCCAGGGACAUAUUAGAUGCAAAGCGAGCUGGUAAUGAAAUUAUACUAGUUGGUAAAUUUUGAGCAGCAUUCUAAUUUUGAAUAUUGUUGCUUCUACAUGUAUUAUGGAUGUGCAAAACGAGCUUACAGGAGAUGCAAUUUGUGUAUCAAAAUCUAGGAAUCAACAGGUGAUCGCCAAAGGGAUCAGUUGGCUACUAUUGCUACUAAAAUGGGUGAAAAUGUAGGUGAAGAGCAUGCUUGGUUGACUGCUGCUGGUGUAAUUGAUCAAGCUUUAGUUGCGGCACGGUUUAUCAAAAAUUCUGGGCAACAAGUACAUCAAUUUAACAAUGUGACUGAAAGGAAAUUGGUACAGAAUUCAAAUUGGAUUUUGGUGACAAAGAAAAAGCCUCCAGGUGUUAGAAUUGGUUCACCAAUUCAUAACACAAUGCAACAAAUUGUAGGAGGUUCCGUGUCUCUAAACUUUUGAUGCUCUUUCGGAUAAUAUUGUGUAGUGAGAUCAAUCCAACAACUUCUAAAAUGGUUAUCGCUAAUCAAGAAGUAAUUAAUACAUUAAAGGAAAAUCAGUUUGCUACUAUGAUUAAUUCCAUUCCAGAAAACAAUCUACCACUUGUCAAUUUAAAUGCCUUGGUACAGGAGAUUCCUCGCCAAUCAUUGGAAUAUUAACAUAGAUAUUUGAGGCAGCAGCUAAUGUCUACAAGGAAUGACCAAAAUGUUGAGAAAGGUAAGAUCUCAAUUUCUCAGACUAACUCUAAAAUUGAAAUGGUUAUUUCUAAUAAGGAACACCAAGGAGCGACAAGUGCUUUGAGGUGGGCAUAUAUAGUAGGUGAAGAGGAAGAGCGGGUCACUUCUCCUAUGCACAUCAAAUUAAACCCGGCAGCUCCUACUUUUGUUCCUAGAAGUGCCAAACCAGUAAUGCCUGUGAAGUUUUGCCAUCAACUGAUGUUGCUGCAAUUUUAAGUGAUCAGUUGGUGAUUUCCGAUGUUGAAAAGUUUACUUUUUUAACACCUAUUAACACAAAAAAACAACUACAAGUUGGUGGUGGUAGCCAUUUGUCUCCAAAUAGAUUUGAUAACCUUCAAGAUGAGGACAUCUUUGAGGAAGGUGAAGAAGAGGAUGUGUUGGAUCAUUAUUUUGCAAAUGUAGCUAGGAAUGCAGAUAUUUCUUCUAGGUAACAACUGCUUUGCUAGUCUUUGUUUUGGUCUUGAAAAAAUAACUCUCUGAUCUGAUGUUGGAAUGUUGGAAGUUGAUACUGUUUGUUCAUUAGUUCUUUUUUUUUUGACAAGUUUAAAGUUUUAUUUAAGCAGUACCAAGAUGGUACAGAAAGGAGCAAAAUACAGAGAAUAAAGCACAGCCUACUACACUCUCCUUCCUAACAAGGUCUAAGAAGUCCAUAUACUGAUUCAGAUUCACUAGUAGGCCACUUUUACACCAAAGUACAAAUUAGUUUUUUCUUUGCCACCCAUCAUGUUAUUCUUUCGCUUUUUACUUGUAAAACUCUAAAACUAAGUAAUAUAAUCUUGGGUUAUAAGCAUGAAACGUAUUCCAUUUGCAGAUACUGUGUCGUGGUUGUUCUUCAAGCAUGUUCUCAAAUGCUGUAUUUACAAAUCCACAAGGGAAAGAAAUAUAACAAAAGGGUCCCAACUUCCAGACAAAAAAAGUAAAAUCUUGGCGUUCAUGCCUACAUGCUGAAUAUUUACAUCCUUGCACAACUUUGCUUUCACAGAUAGUGAUCUUCAAAGUUAGAGAAGUACAUGUCACAUGUGAAAGCAGUACGCAAAUGUGCUUCUUAAGUCAACUUUCUUUCAUCAAACAAAAAAGUUUUUUUUUUUUUUUUGGAGAAAGGAAAAAAAUGNNNNNNNNNNNNNNNNNNNNNNNNNNNNNNNNNNNNNNNNNNNNNNNNNNNNNNUAUUCUUCAUAAAUGCCAAUCAAGUUCAAACAAAGCUUGAACUUGCUGACUGGAAGAGACUUCGUGAACAUGUCGGCAGGGUUGUCUCUUGUGUUAAUCUUCUUAACAGAGACCUUUCCUUCUGCAAUGGUUUCCCGAAUGAAGUGAUACUUGAUAUCAAUAUGUUUCGUCCUCUCAUGAUACAUCUGAUCUUUAGUCAAGUGAAUGGCACUUUGACUAUCACAGAAAUUGAUAAUACCACCUUGGUGUAAGCUAAGUUUAGCAAAUAGACCCUUCAACCAUAAUGCUUCUUUGAUCGCCUCGGUCAUUGCCAUAUAUUCUGCUUCGGUAGUAGAUAAAGCUACUACAUGUUGUAAUGUAGCUUUCCAGCUGAUAGCACAACCACCAAUGCAAAAAACAUAGCCUGUUAGUGAUCUUCUUUUGUCAAGAUCACCUGCAUAAUCAGAGUCUACAAAACCAACCAAAGUGUUAGGAUUUCUCCCAAACUCCAAACAUGUGUUUUGAAGUGCCUCGCAAGUAUCUAAGGAUCCAUUUCACAGCCUGCCAAUGUGCUUUACCAGGGUAAGCCAUAUACCGGCUUACCACACUUAUUGCUUGUGAAAUGUCUGGACGUGUACACACCAUUGCAUACAUAAUACUGCCAACAACACUGGAAUAUGGUACUUGUGCCAUAUAUCUCUCUUCUUCCUCUGUCUGCGGCGAUUGAGCAGCUGAUAACUUAAAAUGAGCAGCAAGAGGAGUACUCACUGGUUUAGCAUCUUUCAUGCCGAACCUCUCCAAGACCUUCUCCAAGUACUUCUUCUGGGUCAGGAAUAACCUUUUGGUUCCUCGAUCUCUUUUGAUCUCCAUGCCAAGGAUUUUCUUAGCUGCUCCUAAAUCUUUCAUUUCAAACUCACUUUUCAGCUGACUUUUGAAAGUGUGAAUUUCUGUCAAAUCCUUAGCAGCAAUGAGCAUGUCAUCAACAUAUAACAAUAAGUAAACAAAUGAACCAUCAUUUAACUUUCGGAAGUAAACACAACUAUCAUACAUGCUCCUCGAAUAACCAUGACCCAAUAUAAAGGAAUCAAACCUCUUAUACCAUUGUCUUGGAGAUUGUUUUAAUCCGUACAAGGAUUUCUUCAACAAGCAAACAUGAUCUUCUUUUCCUUCAAUUUCAAAUCCUUCAGGUUGAUGCAUGUAUAUUUGGCUAUUGAAUAUAUAUACACGAAAAUACCCAUUAAUAUUUUGCCAUUUAUUUAACUCCAAUUUAUGUUUUUUUUUCUUUCUAAAAAGUAAGUCUAUCUUCUAAUAAAUAUAAAUAAAUAAUAAUAUAGAAAAUGAAUGACCUAGAUAAAUUAAAAGACAUAGAGUUAUGUGUAUUCAAUUUCUGUAAAUGCUUUAUCUUCUAUUUCCUAAUGCAAAAAGUAAAACAUCUCUUUGUAGUAAUAAACAUAUGGAGAAUUGGAAAAGUUACUUGGUAUAUUCAAUGUGGAGAGUAAAUUCUUUUGAUCAAUUCAAUACAAUAUAUUCAUUUACUAAAUGCUAUAUAUUGUGUAUACAUAGUGAAAAAUCACAAGAUAACUAUUCCAAUUCAUCAAAUUAUUAAUAUCAAUUCUACUUUGUGUAGGCGACAUUUUUUCAUAUUCAUUUUGUGUUUGUGUCUCUCUUUUCUACUUAUGUACUCUAUUUUUUCUAUUCACAUUAUAAGUUAUUGUCUUUAAUUCGACUUAUUCAUAUAUGUUUUUUAAUUAGUUGAAAGUUCAUCUUACUUGGGUACACAAACAUUUGUAUCAUAGUUAUUUUACCUCUUGCAACAUAGAAAUUUGUCAUGGAAAUACCAAAUCAGGUAAGGUUACUAUCUUUUUAAUUAUAACUUCUUGGAGUAUCAUGAAAUUGUAUAUUCUUGUUUGUGUAAAUUUUGGUUAUGAAUCAUUUUACAUAAUUUAACUAAUAUUUUAUUGUUAAAUUCAUAGAUGAUAGAACUAAUAAUUUUGAAUUAGGCAAGGAGUACACUUACCUAUAAUAAUUAUGUUUUAUAUACAUCGAUUAGAUAUCUGAGCAAUUAUUAUUUUUAUCACUAAUAAUAACUAUAUUUUUUUGUAGGUGUACACCAAAAAAUUGACAAUGAUCCACUAGCUAUCAUAAGAAAGGUAUGUGUUGAUCGAAUUUAUGUGCAAUUUUUACAAAACACAAUUCACGUUUGGUAACAACUUCUUGACCUAUAUAUGAUUGUAAUAAGGUGGAGGCUACAAUUUCUUAGAAAGAAGGCAAAAAUUUUAGAACACGAAAUAUUUUGAACCAAUAAGCGACACUUAAAUUAUGUGUUGUGACACAUUAAAAAAACUUUUAUCAAGUUGAGUACUUGAUAUAUUAAAAAAAUACAUAAUCGAAUAUUACUUUUGAAAUUCAUUUGAUAGCAAUAUUUCAGCAUGAUGUACCUUCUACUGAUAAUAAUCUUGAUUGAAUAGACUCACCAUUAAUUUGUUUAAGCUUGUAUAUUUUCUCUUCAAUUACUAUGCAAGUUAUCGCACAAUGAUCAUCUACUAGCCAUCUUAAGGAAGACACAAAUUGAUCUAAUUUCUAUAUAACUUUUGCAAAACACUACUCUCAUUCGACAACAACUUCUUAAUACAUAUGCAAAUGUGAAAAGGUGGAGACUACAGUUUCUUAAAAAGAAGAUGAAAAACCUAAGACAAGAAAUAUUUUGAAAUCACAUUUGACAAUUAAAUUAUGAGUUAUGCCAUAUUAAACAGAAGAAACUUUUAUCAAAUUGAAUACCUGAUAUAUUGUAGGAAUUGCAUAAUUGAAGUUAUUGGUUUGAGCUUGUAUAUUUCUCUUCAAUUUUUGUGCAACUUAUCACACUAUUAUAAUAUUUUAGAUAGAAUUAGUAUUACAACAAUUUAAUUAAAGUAUAUUCAUUUUUUGGCAAUUAUCAAAUUCAUGUGUGUUUAUGGACCGAGGGGAAGUUCCAAAGAUUUUUUUCUAAUCUAAUGUUUGUCUCAAGUCUAAACAGAGGUGGAUCCACAUUCAGAUUUGUAAUUCUACCACUUCCAUCUAAUUUAUUUAUUUGGUGAAGUUCUUAACAUAUAUACAUGGUGUAAGCCAGCUCAGAUAAAUCCAUAGCUUACUCAUACGAAAAAUACAAAAAAAGCCUGAGUUGUUUUGAACUAUACUUAACUUGGUUGUCAUUUUUGCAAAGUCAAUCUCAUGUCUGCUUAUCCUUGUCUCUUUAUAGUGCAAAAAUCUUCUCUGUUUUUUCGCUGAACAAUAUUCUCGUGUGAACAUAUAUCGCUUGCAACAGGUUUUGUUUUAACUGAACCAGAACCUUAUGGAAGGGACAAAGAGAAGAAUAAGAUAGUAAAAAUCCUUACAAACAAAGUUUGUGAUGUCCAAGAGCUUUCAGUCCUCCCAAUACUUGGUAUGGGGGGGCUAGGAAAGACGACUCUUGCCCAAAUGGUCUUCAAUGAUAAAAGAGUGAUUGAGCAUUUCGAUCCCAAAAUAUGGAUUUGUGUCUCAGAAGAUUUUGAUGAGAAGAAGUUGAUAAAGGCAAUUGUAGAAUCUAUGGAAGGAAAACCACUAGGUGACGGCAUGGAUUUGGCUCCACUUCAAAAGAAGCUUCAGGAUAUGUUGAAUGGAAAGAGAUACUUUCUCGUUUUGGAUGAUGUUUGGAAUGAAAAUCAAGAAAAGUGGGACAAGAUAAAAGCAGUCUUAAAGGUUGGAGCACGAGGUGCUUCUGUUCUAGCCACCACUCGUCUUAAAAGGGUUGGAUCAAUUAUGGGAACUUUGCAACCAUAUGAAUUGUCAAAUCUGUCUCAAGAAGAUUGUUGGUUGUUGUUCAUGAAACGUGCAUUUGAGAACCAAGAAAAAAUAAAUCCUAACCUUGUGGCUAUCGGAAAGGAGAUUGUGAAAAGAAGUGGUGGUGUGCCUCUAGCCGCCAAGACUCUUGGAGGUCUUUUGCGCUUCGAGGAACAAGAAAGAGAAUGGGAACAUAUCAGAGAUUGUUAGGAUCGAGAACUCGGGUAGUGCGGAAUUUAGCCAAACAAUGUUGUAAUGACAAUAACAAAGACAAUAGUAAGUUGAUAAUAACGAAAGUAAAGCAAUUUAAAGAAGACACAAAUUUAACGUGGUUCGGUCAAUAGACCUACGUCCACAAGCGGAGAGGAGCAAUUUCACUAUAUCAACAAGAGUACAAAAGAGAGUAUAGAAUUAGAGUAAAUACUCUAAUUAAUCCCAAAUACCCAAAGAGAAUAACCUCACAAGAUCACUCCAACAAAGGGUUCACACAAGUGUUUCCCAACACAAACUCUCCUACAAAAUUACUCUUAAUGGAAAGACAAAGAAAGAAAACAAUGAAAUAUUUUCAUAUGCUUCAAGGUGUGUUUCAACUAAUGUCUAAGCUCCCUAUUUAUAGAGAAAAAAAUAGGCUUGUUGAUGUCAUGGAUGAUGUCUUUGGAAGAUGCAAAAUAUUCAACAUCUCAAUGUGAAUAUAUCAACUAUGGUGGCUUCCAAAUCUUUGACAAAUAUAGUUGCCAAAUCUUGACAAAUAUGGCUACCAAAUUUCCACAUUUGUGGCUUCCAAAUCCUUCACAAAAGAAAGAUAAAAUAACUUUCUUUCAUCAAACAAAAAAGCCACAUUACAAACUCAAUAACAAAAAGAAGCAUAAAUGAAAUACUAGUUUGGAUGAUAAGAUGACUAAGGAAUUUGUUUCGAGGCACCUACCGAUGCGAUUGGCAAAACAGAAUCACAUGACAGUGUCAACAUAUCAAGAGCUAUUGGACAGAUUUGUAAAGGGAAGUUUGAGGUUGAUAACUCAACUUCCUUCGUGGCUUUUAUAAUUUUGCAUUAUUUAAGCAUCAUCAUAUGUAAUACCAUCAGAGAGUUCGUAAUAAACUGUAGCUCUUAUUUUCUUCAUGGUUGCUAAAAGUAGAGGUUCUUAGCCUCAUUAGGAUUGGUAAGGUAAGCUCUAGCCCCCCUUGCUUGUUCAAAUUCCAAUGGAGGAUUUUUAUUUAUUAUUAAUAAAAAACCACUAGACACGCUAUCUAGUGGUAAAUUUGAAGGAAAAAAAAAUUCUUCCUUCAAGUUCACUUUGCUUGUCUACGGCUGCGCCAGUUUUCUGGCCCAUUGUUUCUCUUUUUUGGCUGCAUAUCAUGUUUCCUACAAUUUCUUGUUCUCAAGUAGUUCUUGAACCCUUUGGGUUAGUUUCUUGGUUUUUAACUUAAAUCUUAUACGUCUUUUUCUUCCCAUAAAAUUCCCAAUCAUUUGUGUCAUUAACUUGCCAAAAAAGUAAGAAGGGAGCAAGGACAUUUUUAUUUCUAACUGUAUUAUACCCAUUUUGUAUUUUGUGCAGAUAUGUCCAGGCUGGAACUCUGAGGAAUAACUAUGGUCACAUUUUUGCUAUGAUCACACGCCUGCGGAAGGUACCAAGACAAUGCUUUAUAAAUGCUUGACAUGUGUGGAACCUUGAACAUUCUUCAUAAUUGUAGUUGAUGCUUGCACUCAUCUUCUUGUUUUUGUUUUCUAAUUGACUCUCUUCGCUGGUUCAAUUAGAGUGAAAAUGACAUUCUGCUCCUUGGAUAUAAAUUGAUAAGAACAAUGGCUUUCUUCUCCUCAUUCUUUUUCUUUCAACUUCUUUUCAUCUUCCUUUCUUUCUACCAAUUUCCAAUCUUCUUUUCUUGCAAACAUUCAUUUUCUGCUUCUUCGCCAUAGUGCUUUGGUUGACAAUACAUUUCUUAUGUAUGGAUAGAUAUGAAUGUGCUGCAACUUCUUUUAUUUUUAUCUUCUGUUUAAUAUCCCUUUCCUUCUGUAUAUAUAAACAUUUUCUUGGUAUAAUUUCAUCACUAUAGUAUUACAUUGUUUUAGACUUAAGUCUUGGACAACAACAAUCAAUUUGUCAGUGGAUAAAAGGGAUAAGUCAUAAGUAUAAGUACCCCCUAGACUAUGACCGAAAUUUCAGCGACACAACGAAACUUAACUAAGAUCCUAUAACCCCCUGACUCAUUUUUUUCGUAUUUUUGUGCACAUUUUAUGCUGAUGUGGCACCUUUAACCACCCAAGUUGGUUGUGUUUGUACACACUCUCCCACCACGUGUGUAAAUAUUAUUUUUUAAUUAAAUUUUUUUUUUUUAAAAUUUAAAAAUAUUCUUAUUUUUUUUAUCUUGUCUUUAAAUUAAGUUAAUACACAUUUUUUUACGUUGUAUCGAAACUUUUUUUUAACCUAAAUUCAUUUUUUUUCUUUUUUAUUUUUCUAUUGAUUAUUUUUUCUUUGUCUUUCAUUUUGAUUUGAUUUCAAAUGUCUUGUAUUUAAAAUAAGUUAAUUUUGAACAGAUAUCAAAAUAAGUGAAGAAAAUCAAAUAAAACAUAAAAUAAAUUAAAACGUUAAAAUUAAAGGACACUUUUAAAUUAUUUUUAAAAAAUAAUACACAUAAUUUUUUUAAAAUAAUGAAAAGUGAAAAGAUAAUAAAUUAAAUAAAAAAAGUUUAAAGUGAAAAGAAAUAAAAAUAAAUAUUUUACAAAUAAAGAAAUAAAAAUAAUUAAAUAUAUAUAAGUUUUAUUAUCAAUAAAUAUGUGUACUAACUAAUUAUAAAGUCACCAAUAAAAAAAUGACAUGUGUCCCAUUUGUGCAAUCAUCACUUGCCUUCAAGAGAGUGUGCACACUCUCUAUGCCAUGUCAGCGUUUGUGGUGUAUUUAUUCCAUUUUAAAUUUGUUUAGGGGGGUAAUAGGACCCUAGUUAAGUUUUGGUGUGUCUCUGAGAUUUCGGUCAUAGUCUAGGGGGGUACUUAUGCCUUGUCCCGUGGAUAAAAUAUGUAAAAUCUGUGUAAAGAUUGAACUAAUGAAAGAGUUAUUUGACGUGCAAUCCAACUUAUCAGGCGACUGCUAGAGGUGUUAUUAAACGUAGUUGUUUGCUUAAAUUAUUUUCUCAUGUCAAAUGAAAUAUUUUGUGCUUUUCUUUUUUGUGAACUUAAUGUUGAAGUAUUUGUCUUACUAUGGUCAUCAGCCAAAUUUGAUUGUCGCAAAUGUUUGACCAAUGUCUUUCUUUAAUCGACAGGAAGUUGAUCAUCCUUACCUUGUGAAGUUUUCUACCAUAGAAUCGGCUAUUACAGUAAAGAGGCUUGAGAUGUUGAACAAUCGUGUGACUUGUGUCAUGAUUCAGUAGUGAGUUUGUGAACCUGUACCCCCUCCCCCAAAACCAACAACAACAUACCCAGAGAGGCUGUUUCUGAAAGACCCUCGGCUCAAGUGCAUCAAACCCAAGUAAUAAAGGAAGGAAACCAUGAAGAAAGUAUAACAGUUAAUAAAACAAUAGUGUAAAGUCUACAAGAAAGAACUCAGUGUAUGGCUAGUACUACAACAAGCAAAGAAACUAGUGUAUGACUAGUACUACAACAAGCACUAACAAGCCUAAGCAGGACACCCUCUAACCCUACUAACCUUCUAUUCUAAUACGUAACCUCCACUCCUUCCUAUCUAAAGUCACGUCCUCAGUAAAAUGAUGUUGCGUCAUGUCCUAUCUAAUCAUCUCUUCCGAAUACUUUUCUCGGCCUACCUCUACCCCUCUGCACACCCCAACUACAACCAGCCUCUCGCAUCUUCUCACUAGGGCGUCGUCACACCUCCUCUGCACAUGACCAAACCAUCUUAGUCUCACUUCUCUCAUCUUGUCUGCCAUAGAGACCACUCCCACUUUCUCCCAGAUAACCUCCCUCCAAACCAAGAAAAAGGAAAAAAGGAGAGAAGAAAUGGAAAGAAACACAUCCAAAAACAUGUUACUUAGUUUAAGUUUAAUUUGAUAGCUCUCCUCGUUUUGCAUUUACUAAAUUAUUUUUUUGUUGACCAUUCAAGGUCCAAGAACUUCGAGCAACUUCAAAUUUAUCAUUGUCAGCCUGAUAUUAUAUGUACACUCCUUAAAUGCCAUUUAGUUGUGUUGAACGGUUUUAAAUACUUUUUCCUUAAAAUUGUCUAGAUCAAUUUCGAAAAAGAACAGGUUUGUUGGAGAGGACAAUUUUUUUAUUACUUUAUUCACCCAUUAAUAUUAAUAUGUAUGAUGAUUGUAAAGAUAUGACAUAUGGGCCUAACUUAUUAGGGGAGAAUUUAUCAAGUCAAUAUAAGUAAACCACCAAUCCAUUCUCCAAUCAAUGUGAGAUUCUACCUACUUUAUCAUUUCUUCAUUCCCAGGCCCAACCAGAGUGUGGACCGGGAGCCCAAAUGGGGAUGGACCUGGCUUUGAUACCAUGUAAAGAUAUGACACCUGGGCCUAACUCAACCCCAAAAGCUAGCUCAUGAGGAGAGGAAUGCCCAAGUCUAUAUAAGAAGACCACCAGUCCAUUGAUGGAUAUCAGUUUCUAAGCAUCAAAAAAACAACAAGCCCUAAUUUCUCUCUGCUUUUUGGGAAAAUGAAUCCGCCAAUUCCAGGUUCUUCUUCUUUGUCUUGUUUGUUUUUCUUCUGAAGCUCUUCAAUCUUGAAACCUUGGUUGAAAUUGAAUGAUUUUGAAAUGACCCAAAAUAGAAAAUAAUGAAUGACAUGUAAAUUAAAAUACCAUGUGAAUGUUGUGCCCUAGCGAUGAGUUGUUGUCUUUAAUUUUCUCCUAUUUUUAAUUUAUUGAUGUCAAAUUCCAUAGGGGAGAUCCAUCUUGAAAUGCUAACACCUAUAAAUGCUUUGAAUAGUUCGCGUAAUUAUCUAACUAAAUUGAUAGUUGUUCAUGUUACUGAAGAUCAAAUGGACCAAGAUACGGAUGCAUAUCAUAGAUUCUAUGGCAUGGUGAGAAGGAUAAAAAUGAGGAAAGAUGAACGUGAGAGAAUGCAAAAGAUAAGAAGAUCAGUUUUGACAUGGGAGUUACUGGAACAAGAAAUGGAUGAAUUCCUUCUGGAGAAUUAUUCAGAUGAUUUAGACUUGGAUAUUCAGAACGUCUCGUUUGCUGAAACUGCCGAGGCACCAUCAGAUUUGAUCUUGCCACUAUUGAGGUACCAAAAGGAGUGGUUGGCUUGGUCAUUAAAGCAAGAAACUAUAUUCAAAGGGGGUAUUCUUGCUGAUGAAAUGGGAAUGGGGAAGACGGUUGAAGCCAUAGCACUUGUGCUUGCUCAACGCGAAUUAAAGAAAGCAACUACUAGUUCUAGUAUAUUGCCGUCUUCACCCGGUACUUCCCAGGAACUCCCAACAGUAAAAGGAACUCUUGUUGUAUGUCCUGUGAUUGGAGCAACGCAAUGGUUUCACGAGAUUGAACUUUGCACCACUAAAGGAAGCAACAAAACUGUUGUGUAUCAUGGCCCCAACAGGGAGAAAUGUAUGUACAAACUGGAGGAAUAUGAUUUUGUCAUUACUACAUAUUCCGUUAUCCAGGCUGACUAUUGGCCAAAGAGGUCAAAACAGAACAGCAAGAACUCAAAAUGGAGUGACGAUGGUUCUAUUGAAAAUUCAGCCUGGGUUGAUGAAGACGUGUCCACAAGGAAGUCAAUUCUGCAUUCAGUGAAGUGGGAGCGCAUCAUUUUGGAUGAGGCAAGUCAUACAUUCAUAGACAUGCAUUAAGUUUUUGUUUUCUUAACUUGGCACUUCAAGAUACAUGGUGAUCAUUUGUUGUUUAUGCAAUUUUUUUCAAGUCGAUCAUGUUAACUGCUGAAUAAUGUGCUAACAGCUAUGCUGGUCAGUAGAAUGUGAAGAAUCUUAUGGUGGUUAGGAAGAAACCUAUAGGUUUACUGCUGAAUAAUAUUAAUAAUGUUUCAGCUAUUAAGACACAACAUAAUGUAAGAACAUGGAAUUUCAUCUUCAAUUCUAGUUUGAUCACCCUUUUCUAUUUUACAUGGUGGACAUGGACAUUCUGUCUCUAUGUUGCCCUGGAACAAUCCCGCAAGUGUUUUGUAGUCUGAGAGUAGAACUCCUAAAUUUCAUAUGACACAAGAUCUUUUAUCUGAAAUGUUCUUAACUGAUUGAACUUCUAUGGCGUAGGCUCAUAAUAUCAAGUCUAUACACAGCAACACCACACAAGCGGUUCUUGCUUUAGAAUCUUUUUAUAAGUGGGCAUUGACUGGUACACCCCUGCAAAACCGCAUGGGAGAAUUGUACUCAUUUGUAAGUUAACUUCUUCUACUUUAACUACCUUUUCCUUACUUCUUUAGUUGCGAGGUUAAUUAAAUUCUGUACUUCUCUACAGGUCCGUUUCUUACAAGUUACGCCUUAUGCUUGUUACUUUUGCGAAGAUUGUAAUUGCAGUGGACUUGAUUUUAGGUAGACACAAAAAUUCAUUUUUAAAUCCUUGUUCCUAUCCCAGAGGGUGAAAUUCUUAAUGGCUCACAGUCUAUUUUACUUUAUAUUGUUAUCAUUUUGCUUCUCAAUCAAUAUUACUUUUGAAACAUCUCAUGUUGUCUGUCCCUCGAUAAAUUCUACAGCUCCUACGAUGUGUGCUCACAGUGCUCCCACCAACCUGAACGCCACUUCCUCUGGUGGAAGAACGUAAGUUAUUAAUUAAUAAUUUACAUACUUUUGAAGCUUCAUUUUAUUGCUGACAUAGUAAAGUUGAAACGUCUUCUAUUUUUUUCCUAGUAUAUUGAAAAAACUUUAAAGGCAUACGAAAAUGAAGGUAGAGAUGCGAUGGUUUGGUUGAAGUACAAAAUUCUGAAAAGCGUAAUGCUAAGACGUACCAAAAAAGAAAGAGCUGUGGAUCUUGCACUCCCCACAAAGACUGUAAGUUCUGUUUGCACUAGUGCCGUGUACUUCAAUUCCAUUAGAAUCUUCUGACUGGUUCUUUUUUGGGUUCAUUCAGGUUACAGUGAGAAAAGAUUAUUUGGAUGAGAGAGAAUACAACUACUACAAGACAUUGCACGAUAGAAGCCGUGCACAGUUCGAGAUGUAUGCUAUCUCUCUGAUAUUUCAUUUUCAAACUCGAGCUAUUCUUCCUUCAAGUCCACUUUGCUUGUCUACGGCUGUGCCAAAUUUCUUGCCCAUUGUUUCUCUUUCUUUUGGCUGUGUAUAUUGUUUCCUACAAUUUUUUGUUCUCAAUCAUUUGUGUUCCCAUAAAAUUCUUAAUCAUUUGUGCCAUUCAUUACCUUGCCAAAAAGUAAGAAGGCUGCAAGGAUAUUUAUACUUCUAACUGCAUCUGCAUUAUUUAUUUUGGUGCAGAUAUGCCCAGAUUGGACAUCUGAUGAAUAACUUAGGUCAAAUUUUGGGUAUGAUCACACCCCUACGGCAGGUACCAAGACAAUGCUCUAUACAGAUGCUUUAUAUAUGUGAAACCUUGAACAUUCAUAUUCUUGUUUUUGUUUUCUAAUUGACUCUCUUUGUUGCUUCAAUUUUGGUGUUUUCAGUGCUAAGCUUUCUAAAUCGAUUUAUCCAUUUCUUACUGGAUUCAAUGUAAUUUAGUGCAAAUAGUAUAAGCAUGUGUUUACUGAUUAAAAUACUUUGUGUGUGGGUUGUGGGGGGGGGGGGGGGAUGAAUUAAAAAAGNNNNNNNNNNNNNNNNNNNNNNNNNNNNNNNNNNNNNNNNNNNNNNNNNNNNNNNNNNNNNNNNNNNNNNNNNNNNNNNNNNNNNNNNNNNNNNNNNNNNNNNNNNNNNNNNNNNNNNNNNNNNNNNNNNNNNNNNNNNNNNNNNNNNNNNNNNNNNNNNNNNNNNNNNNNNNNNNNNNNNNNNNNNNNNNNNNNNNNNNNNNNNNNNNNNNNNNNNNNNNNNNNNNNNNNNNNNNNNNNNNNNNNNNNNNNNNNNNNNNNNNNNNNNNNNNNNNNNNNNNNNNNNNNNNNNNNNNNNNNNNNNNNNNNNNNNNNNNNNNNNNNNNNNNNNNNNNNNNNNNNNNNNNNNNNNNNNNNNNNNNNNNNNNNNNNNNNNNNNNNNNNNNNNNNNNNNNNNNNNNNNNNGUUUGGGGGGUGUGGGGGGGGGGGGGGGGAUUAGAUUGAAAAUGAUAGUUUUUACUCCUUGGAUAUAAAUUGAUAAGAGCACAGGCUUCCUACCCUUCAUUCUUUUUCUUUCAACUUCUUCUCGUUUUCCUUCCAUUCCAACAACUUCCUCUUGCCAUGGGGUUGAUGUCCUUCUACUUUGGUUCUCUUGACCUGUCCCUACUCAUGACCCUCAUGAUUUGGCCACACAAUCUCUUUCCAAUUUUCUUUUCGUGCAAAAUUCAUUUUCUGCUCUUUCCCAUAGUCCUUUUUAAUUGACAAUAAAUUUCUUAUGUGUGCAUAUGAGUGUUCUGCAACUUCUUUUUGUAUCUUCUGUUUAUAUCACUUUUCUGCUGUUAUUUUGGUAUUAUUUUAUCACUAUAGUAUUACAUUGUUUUUGACUGGGUGGUUGGAAGAUAACAAUGGAUAGUUAAUACAAUCUGGUCAAGGGGGUUAUCACAAAUAGUUGGUUGUCAAAAUUUUGCUCAAAUAUGUAAAGUUGGAGUAAAGAUUUGACUAUGGAAGACUUAGUUGAUGGGCAUUCCCGCUUAUCAGACAACUGCUAAAGGUUACUAAACAUAGCUAUUUGCUUAAAUUGUUUUCUCAUCCAAAAGCUAAUAUUUUGUGCUAAUCUUUUUUCUGUGAACUAAAUUUUGAAGUGGCUGCUUCUAGUUUUCUUGUCCUUCUAUUAUAUGAGAGCAAAUACCGACACUGUCCUUUUUUUUGCUUCGUUUGAACUUGCCUCCCAUACAUAUUUUUGUCUUGCUAUGGGUCAUCAACCAAAUUUGAUUGCAGAAAAUGUCUGACCAAUGUCUUUCUUUAAUCGGCAGGCAGCUGAUCAUCCUUACCUUGUGAUGUACUCUAGAAAAGAAUUGGCUAGUGGCAAUAAAGAGGCUGGAGAUGUUGAACAAUCAUGUGUCUUAUGUCAGGAUGCAGUGGAAGAUCCAGUAGUGAGUUUGCACUCCUCUACCCACUCCCCUCCCCCAUACCAAGAAAUAGGAAAAGAGAGAGAAGAAAGGAAUACCAAACAUGUUACUCAGCUGAAGUUCAAUUUUUGAUAGCUCUCUCCUUUUCUGCAUUUCUUAAGUUGUUUUUUUGCUUGGCCGUUCAAGGUCUAAGAACAUCGAGCACCUUUCAAUUGCUCAAAUCCAGCCUGAAUGUUGUAUGUACACUCUUCAAAUGCCAUUCACUCUCUUUGGAAUUCGAAAAAUUGUUGUAGUUCUCAUGAAGCGGAUUAACAUUUGGGAUACUCUCUUUCUAGCAGCAUAGACAUGGAGAUUUUAUCAAAAGUACAUCUAGUAUACAGUCCUUAUACAUUAAACAGAGUCUUCUUUGAACUGUCCAUCUCUUUUUGAUUUUUGCAGGUUACUUGUUGUAGGCACGUGUUUUGCAGGGCGUGUAUGAUAUAUUUAGCUGAAGAUGUGAGGGAAACGCCAUGCCCUUCAUGUACCAAACCCCUCACAUUUGACUUCACUGGAAAUAAAGAUAAGGGAGAUUCUAGUUCUAAACCUACUGUCAAAGGGUUUCGGUCCUCAAGUAUAUUGAACAAAAUUCAGCUAGAUAAAUUCAAGACAAGCACUAAAAUAGAAGCAUUGGUAUGCAAUUGCAUUCAUCAUAUUCUCCUCAGCUUGCUUUUUUUCUUUGUCUUAUGGGUUUAUUUCCUUUUCACAAGGAAAGCAAGGGGUGUGAGCUCAUGAUCUUGUAUUUCUUUCUCUGUGAACCGCUCUAAAUUCUUCAGAAAUAGCUCAUUUUUUACUUUUAUUGAAUGUAGAAGGAAGAAAUUAGCGACAUGUUUGAAAGGGACGGUUCUGCAAAAGGAAUAGUUUUUAGCCAGUUCACAUCGUUUUUGGAUCUGAUACAGUAUUCUCUUAAUGUAAGACAUAAUGGUACUUUCUCCUUUCUACUUUCUCUUCUUUCCAGACUAACAAAAAAGAAGCUUGUGUUGUGUGUAUUCAGCUGUGUGGCAUCAAUUGUGUUCAAUUAGUUGGAUCCAUGUCUAUUGCCGCAAGAGAUGCUGCACUUAAAAGAUUCACUGUGGAUUCACAUUGCAAGAUAUUGCUUAUGAGCUUGAAAGCUGGAGGUGUUGGCUCAUCUCUUGAUCUUUGCUAGGUUUUCUUAAUGGAUCCUUGGUGGAAUCCUGCAGUGGAGCAGCAAGCCCAAGAUAGAGUCCAUCGAAUAGGGCAAUAUAAACCAGUCAAGUGUGUUUUGUAUUUCUUCUGCUUUGGUGACCAUUGAAUAGAGCUUAUUGUUGUUUUCGAAUUUGCAGGAUUGUGAGAUUUGUGAUGGAGAAUACAAUUGAAGAGUGAAUCUUAGAAUUACAAGAGAAGAAGAAAUUACUUUUUGAAGGGCAAGUGUGUUUUUCUUAUAGUCGUCUACAUAGUAUCAUAUAUGUUCUGACAAAAAUAAAGUAUUUUGAUGAUUUUCCUUUGCAUGUUGUUAUUGUCAAUCUUUUGUUAGAUUCCUUCUUUGCUCCCUUCCUCCGCUCUUUCUCUUGAGAACCAUUUUUCGCUAACUGUUUGUUUUUCCUCUGAUUACAGGACAAUUGGUGGUUCUUCAGAGGCCUUAGGAAAACUAACAACUGAGGACUUGAUAUCCCUGUUUUAUUAUCACUUUUGAUAUGUUCUAUUUCUUCGGUUUGGCAAACCAAUUGACAUGUGCUUGUUCAGCUUCUAGCAAAAUUUUGUACGAAGUGUUCUGACAUUUGCUUUUAUGUUGCAUGGAGUUUGAUCUGUCCAAAGAGUGUUUCUGUUGCUUCUGCAUCUUAAUUGAUAUGAAUCACCUUCAACAGUCAUUAGCUUCAUCAAUUGUUUUAUUAUUUCCUUCCAUUUUAGCUUCACUUUCAUGAUAAAAAGUGCAUCAUAAUCCAUACCCUCAAGGCAAUGUCAUGGAAAUGUGGAUCCUUGCAAAAUAACAUUGGCAUAUGAAGUUCGUGGGCAGAAACAGAAUUCUAGUAAAGAUAAUUAAUCAUCUGGUUGUCUGCAUCAUCCAUCCAUCUCUUUUGUUUCUUUUUGCUUGUCAAUGUAUGAAUUGCAUAUAGAAAGCCAUUUGGGAGUUCAAAGAAUUAGCAAAUUUACUUGAAAGGUUAUUUAAUGAUGACUAGUUGUGAAUAGGCAAUAUACUGCUGCAAUGUAUCAAUAUGUUAAAAGAUCGCCAUUGGUAAUGCACCUUGAUCUAUUGGUGCUACUAUGGUUUGUAUUCAUGAAUGAUCAGCCCGUGAGAAGAUUCACACAAAUAGUGUUGCUCAUAUAAUUAAUGAUGAAUCAACUAGGAAGUUUCUGCAUUCAGUUAAAAGACUGGUGACAUUCUGCUAACAACGCUAUCCAACGAUGAGAUCCAAACAUGUGGCUUCCAAUAAUGCCUAUGCCUGCACAAGAAACUCUGUUUAUUCUGUACGUUGAUUUCCCCUUGCUGCAGUCUAAAGCGGUUUCCUUUUUCUCCUUGAAGUUGAAAUGACUUCGAAGUUCUUUUAUUAACUUCUUUUUGCUAUUGAAAUAAUAUAAAAGACUUGCAAAGGCAAUUUGAUGAAGUUGACAUGAAAAAGUUUGUUCAUAUAUAUAGCUGAACCAUGAGUACAACCAUUUGCAUCGUGACUUAAACUAACUCAACUUGCUGCACUGCAUUAAUAGACAAUAAUAACCUCAAUUGGAACAAACUUUAGCUUUAACAAUUUAUUGAGCUAAUGCGUUUGAUUAAGCUUAUAUAAGUAAUGGACAUUUAAAAUACACCCAAAAGAUUUUCCAUAAUUUAAAAUAAGAACACUUUAUCGUGUGUUCAAAUGCUCAAUUAAAACAAGUCACAAAUCAAGUAUCUAAAUGAAAUUUACUAGUAAAAGUUUAAGGGUAUCUCAAUGUAAUAAGCCAAACAAAAACUAAUCAAAAGAGGCUAAUAAGUUAAAUCACGGGAGAACAGGAUCCUGCCCUAGCACGUUACCAACCCCUUUCCAAAGAAUCCGCACUGAUUUUACGCCUCAUUAUUCUCAUUCAGGCAAUUCCGCGAACAUCUAACCUGCAGCAGAAAACUUUGCGUUUGUGUUCACAAGUUAAAGACUGUCUCAUCCUUACAAAAUAUAAUGGGGAUUCUAGUUCACAUGCCAUCAUGCUAGAUAAUAAAAAGGGCGUGACGAAUUUGGGGAAAUAUUUUUCUUCCCCCAAAAUUCUCCAUCAUUUGAGUCAUUAGCAGAAAGUACGAAGAAGAUAUUUCUCCUAUUGCUGUCAAAUUCCUUACCGGAGCUCCAUAUUGAAAUGUUAACUAAUGCUUUGAAUAGUUGGUGUAAUUGUUUAAUUGAAUUGAUAAUUCUUCGUGUAUCUGAAAUUCCUUUCAGCUCGUUACUGAAGAACAAAGGGAUGAGGUUACAGAUUCAGAUGAUGGACACCGUGCAUAGAUUUGAUAACCUACAAAAUGAGGACAUCUUUGCUGAGGAAUUUGUUUCAAGACACCUGUUGAUGCGACUAGCAAAACAGAAUCACAUGACAAUGUCAACAAGAUCCAAUAAACCAAAGAAAAAGUGAUAGUGAUGAACUAUAAAGAGCUAUUGGACAUAAUUGAUGAAGAAGACGAGAAAAAUA